AGAAUUACUCUCUGUUGACACCUAAUUUUUGCCCUCCAUAACUAAGUUUAAUUUGGAGUUUCUUCGAUUUUCAAAUAAAAUUACGACAUUAAAUAUUUAUUUGGAUAAAUUUCUCAUUUUAAGUAGCGAUUAUAUAUUAUCGUGUUCAAUUAUAUGAAAUUUUAUAAUUUUGUUACUUAAAAAUUUAUUUUACAAAAUAUCGGAUUUUAGUCAAGGCUCAUAUUGAAAAUAAUUUCAAAUGAUUAAAAUCUUGAUUUAAAUAUAGUUUUCCCUAAAAAAAUAAUUUAUUUCAAUAAAUAUUUUUUUAAUUUUUAUCAAAUCAAGAAGCUCAAGAUUAAACAAAGCAUUAAUCCAUAUCAAAUUUUGAUUCAAUUUAGUCUAUUCAUUAAAUUUGGACCUUAAUUGAAAUCGAUUCGACCAUAAUUGCAAUUCAAUUGGUCAAUUGGGUUUUAAUUAGGCUAAAUUUUAAACGCAAUUGUCUAAAUUUUUCCUUAUUGGCUAUUUGAUAAAUACCCAAAACAGACCAACCAUCCACUCAAUUUGUAACCCGAUUUCAGCCCAAAUUAUCCAAAACCCAGCCCAUUUCCUAUCCCUUCAGUAACCUAUUUCUUUUAAUUAUAUUAACCAGCCCAGGCCCAAUGAAACUGACCCACCAGCCUAAUAUUCCUUCUUCCCCCUUUUACUCUAAAGCAGCAAGAAGCUGCGUACAAAGCAACAACAAUAUCAAUCGAUAAAAAUAACAAGAACCCUCGAACAACUUCAAUUCCUACCCGACCCGUGUCUCGCAAAUCCAGAACAAGACCAACUCGACCUUUCUCCAUACGCGUCUCACACAAUUUUGUAUGAAAAGAUUUGGAAACCGACUAGAGACAAGCUUGGUGUCCUAUCCAACGUUCAAUUCCGCGAAUAUCGGGUAUAGGGGUACGAAUUCAUACAUAUUUGGGAAUUUUUCAUUGGUUCUUGGAGACAAUUUGUUUUUCCCCCAUUUUAUUGGUCCACCGAUUUCGGAUUUGUUCAAGAAAUUCCAAAUUAGUACCGAUCUUGAAUGGAAAAUCUUAUCCGAAACCCCAAAAAUUCAAAAAUAUCCUCUUGUUCAACCCCUAAAAUACCCCCAUCUCCGUCUCCUAUAUAAGAACCCUUUGAGGUCACUAUUUGGGGAUUGGAAAUCCUGGGGUUCGAAAAUUAGGUUGGAAAUUCUGAAAUCUAGGAAUUCUAGGAUUGGGAAAUUCUAGAAAGGAAACUUAGGUUCAAGAAAACAAAAGGAAAGAAAACUUUGGAAAAAAAUCAGGUUUUUAGUGGAAAUUCUUUCUUGUUUUGAGAGUCCAUUGACUAAAUUUGAGUUUCAAGUUGGCGGUGAAGGAGUUUUCUGGUGGUCGUGAUCUCCAUAGACAGUUCGUUGCUCCAUUUUACUGCCCUUAAAGAGGUAAAUACACUCCGUUUACCUCCUAAUUUGAUCGCUUUUCUCCUUUGCCUCUUUUCUGCGUAGCUGAUGUUAUUGUAAUCAUGACAUCAUUUUGUUAGGAAUAGUUUGAUGUAGUCAUAGUUGUAAUGUGGUUUUGCUAAGAGCAGCCUCUAUAGCCCUCAUAGAAAAUUCUAAUUGUUCUGGGUUGUUUCCUGGUAGAUGGCUUUCACAGCCGUAGGAAUUAGUCAAAGAUGAUUGUGUUUGUGUUUUCGCUAGAGCGAGGCCCAUGCUACCAUGUCGUUCUGUUAUCUAUUCUGUAUUUUUGACUUUGCUGUUUUGAAUUCUUAUUCUCUCAUUACUGUCAUUGGUUCGUUGCUAAUCUCAUUUUUAGUAUUUUUUGCCUUUUGUAUGAUUGAUUUGUGUGCACAAUAUAUGUCGUUGUGAGUUUGUUACCAUUUUUCCUGUAACUGAAUCUGUUUAAUCACACAAUUGUAGUUUCUUUUUGUGGUGUAUUGUUUUUUUUACUUAACCGUACGUUUAAUAUGUUAGUCUCUCAAUGCAUGUUUCGUGUCUAUCUUUUGAAAUUACUGGAAUGUUAGUUUUCAUGCUAGUCAUCACCUUAUCAUUUUCAUAUCUGAGUAUAUUAAUCUGAUUUGUUGAACCUUAGUCGUUUAGUUUGUGUUCGGGACCUUAGUAUUAUGUCGUGGGUAAUUUUUACUCUCUCGAGUUUGUCUCUCAAAUUUUUGCAGUUGACAAGAAACAUCCUCUAAAGCUCCUAUUGACAAAAAAAUGUCAAGAAAGGGCAAGAGGAUAUGUUAUAUUGAUUUUAAAUCGUCCCACGACCCUUCAAGGACUCAUAUCGACCCUCAAAGUUUUGUACAAACUUGUCGAGAGAAAGCUAGGAUGAAUCAGGUGUCAUGUUGAAUCUUGAAAGUUCGUUUUUAGUGUAUCUUCGUAGGUGGGUGAAAUCUAUGUUAAGAUUUUUAAAGUAAUUGUUUGGAUUGUUUCAUUUACUCCUAUUUGAUUCUAAUCGCGCACCACCACGUUCUGAUUGUGAAUAUGUGACCCACACAUUAUUACUUUUCAUGACUUUGAUGGAAUUUGAUUCUUGUUUCAAGAUCUGUCCAGCUAGAGUUAAUAUUUGGUGUAGUUGCAUACUAGCAUUGAUAAAGGGAAAUCUGGAGUGUGAAUUUUUUGGUACUUUAAGGGGAUGGUCUUUUUCUUUUAUGGGUCGCAACCAUGCGUAGUAAAAAAGGGACUGGAGUCUGGAUUUGAUCACGAAUAGAAUCUUGCCCGUUGUAUUAUUAUUACUAUUGUUAUGAUUGUUUUAUUCCUACUAUUCUAGCUUAGAGAGUAGAUUAACUGCCUUUCAUUGAAUAAGCUGGAUCAUUUUCAUAUCAUUACUUGCUAUUGUCUGGACGUGUGAGAAUGCUCUUUUAAUGAUGUUAUUUACCUUUAAGUAUCUAUCUUUGAACACUUAUUAAUUACUUCGCCUUUCUUUUGCAUGUGGACUCCUUUUCCUUUGCAUGUCUAUUAUGGACCAUUGAGGCCUAAUAACCCUGAGUUGAUUCCGAAGGAAAAUCUCAAGUCGGUUACAUAGCAUAUGGAUACGAAGAUCAACGGAAGAAGAAUGGGUUGAAAUCCCAUAUUCGAAGUGGCUAAGAGACUUAAAAGUCUUAUAUAUUUGCAUAGUUAUUCAGCAUUGCCUUUAUGCAUUCAUUUCUUUGUUGUCUUGUUUCUUUAUUUUAUUCAUUCGGGCCACGAUGCCAAAGUUAUAUUUAAUACAGGUGGAAAAAGAUUCAAGCCGAAGGCUAAAAAAUGUAGAUUAGGACAGGUAGAAGACGGGUCAAAAACCCAAUAUCUAGAUUAGGACCGGGUGACGGAUUUGUGCAUGAAGGCCCAAAUCAUUUAUUUUUUCCUCUCUUUCCCCCUUAUUGUAUUUGCUUUCUUGUUUGAAUCUAGUUAGAUCCUUAGCUAAGUCGCUAAAAAUUUUUGAUUUUGCGAAAACCUUCAAAAUAUUCUUUAAUCAAAUCACUUUUCAACAAAUUGAUUUUUCAAUGUUGGUCAAAAACGAUUUUCAAACAGAUUGGAUAAACGCAAGUUAACGGAUGUUUUAGGUGCCUAACACCUUUCUAAAACGUCAAUAGGAACCACUUACCUGAAAUCUCUUAACUUAAACAAUUUUUCUGUUUUGAAUCGUUUAAGUAUUUUACAAAAGGUUUCUUAAUUUCUUUUCAAAAUUAAGUGGCGACUUUUUAAAAAGUCAAAAUUUCAUCAAAACACUCUCUAUUCUCUCUACUCUUCUUCUUUAUUCUUUAUUAGUUUAUAACAUGUUAUCAGCACGAGACUCUACCAAACAAGGUGAGAUUAUAAAUCUAAAGAUAAUUUUAAGGUUAGUGAUUCUUAUGUUAUUUGUCUUUGGCUACCAAUGAUAUAAUUAUUGUUGGAUUUGAGGAAAAAUAAUUGGUGCCUUCAAUUUGUUCAUGAGGAACAAUGUUGCUAAAAAAUAUGAUGAUUAAUUUAAAUCUUAUUUCAUUAAGAGGGUAAGACAUUGGGUUAAAAAUUUCAAUGCACUAUGAUGAUAAGAUGUUGGUUUCAAUUCCAAUCGAGUUAUGCCUAAGAUGGCUUUAUACGGAUAAGAUCUUGAAAUUGAAUUUCAAUGCACAAUAUUAAUGAUAUUAUGAUGGUUAAGGUAAAAAUAAUAUAUAUAUGAUAAAAAGUCAUGAAACUUGUCCAUUGAAUAUGCUCCAUUCCAUUAAGUGAAUGUGAUAGUAAUAUAUGAUAAGUCUGAAAGAUGACAAUUUGCUCAAUUCUUGAAGAGAAUGUGGUAGCACUAUAUGAUAUAUGCUUUGAUAGAUAUAUAUGCCUCGAUGUGCUCCUGAUGUAGUAAUAUUAUGAAAGAGGUUAUAAGCCAUCAAAAUUUGAAAGGCUUAAAGCACGAUUAUAUUUCAUUCCUGGGAAUGAAAAGUUUAUUAAUGCAAACGUGCACUUGAUUGUGAUGGCAUCACAACUCACCUUCGAAAGAGGCUGAAUAAUUGAGAAGGGUUAUUUUGAAUAUUUUGAAACCUACUUCUAAAGUAGUAAAUUUGAAAUUUAUUCAAGUCAUAAUAAAUCUGAAAUUUACUGAAACAAAAAGCACAUAUCAUGGUAAACUUGGAGUUUACUAGAAUAAAUAUUCAUAAAUUGACAUGAACGAUUGCGACAUUCCAAAGAUAUGCAUACUGAGUAUUGAACAUAUAUUGAAGAAUUAGAAAAUUCUUCAUUACUUUUAAUGCUUCUUAUUCUUAUGAUAAGUUGGUUGGACUAUGAUACGGGACAAAUGACCAUCUUAUCUUUUGAUGACAUCUUUGGAGGCCAACACAUAGAGGCUCAAGACUUGGUCACCUUGAGGAUACGAGAACAUUCUUAGAGGACCUGUUUCUAGCCAACCAUUAGGCCUACCAUAAAUCAAGGCCGUGAGUGAAAGAUUGCUUGGAGCAUUGAAGACUUGAGAACUCACGACUUUGGACAUUUAAUGGCUCACAAUUUUGGGUCAUCUUUAUUGAGGACAUUUUGGUCACUUUACUUUGCCCAAAAUGCACUCCAUGGUCGCCCCUGUCAUUAAGGGUUGUGUAGUCAUUUUGUCUCCUUUUGUAAUAUACUACAAAUAGGAUAUUUUAGGUCUUCUCUUAGUAGUUGUUUAUUGAUGAAAAUGUGAGACAUUGAAAAUCCUCUCUCUUAAGAGUAGAAUACCUUAGUGUAGUUCUUAGUUAGGGCUUCGAUUAGCCAUUAUAGUUUAGGGCUUGGAAAAGUCAAUAUUGUUCUUUGCUUGAAAACGGUGGAUCUUGAGGUGAGUUGAUUUCCUUGGCGGUCACCGUAAGAGUGUGGUGUUGUUGUUACAUUCAUUAGGGGUUUUUGAGUUUAAUAUAAUCUUUAGUUUCUAAUCUUUGUAAUAAUCUAUGUCUCACUAUCUAUCUUUACCUUUCUUAGAAUUGUGUUAGUGUUUGUAUCUUAUAAUCAUUUGUUCUUGUUGAAUCCAAAUCUUGUGUUCAUAUUGUUCUUUUUUUAUUGUUGCUGUUUUGGUGUUAAAAUACCUUGCAAACUCGUGAUACUUGUGUUGUUGUUGUUGACCGGAACUAGCACUCAAAGGGGUCCUCGGGUCGCUCUCAAUUUGUGGACUAUUUUGUAUAGUUUUUAUGCCUUUCAUGGUCUUUCUUGUAUUAUUUGGUAUCAAAUUUGAUCUUGUUCCCACAAGAUCAAUAUUGAGCUCGUAAACUUGAAAAUAAAAAAAAAGGUGUUAGAAAACUGAAAAAUCAAAAAGAAGCAAAUCUGCCCAUUUUUUGUGUCUUGGCCAAAAUUGUAUUGUUGUAGUUGUCUUGGCCGAGUUUGAGUCUAGAUCUAGGUGUAUUUUUUUUUUAUUAUGUUAGAUUCUUUCUUCACUAACACCAUUGAGUAAAGAUCCAAGUUGAGCUUGAAUGAUUCUUGUUGGUAUUGUUGUUGCGGUUCCAAACUUGAACAAUGUUGGUGUGUUUUGGUGUUGUUGUUGUGGACUGAAAUUUGAAGGUGUGUUUUGAACUCGUGUUGUUGGCAUUUUGUUGUCGGUUUUAAAUUUGAAAAAGGUGUUGUUGGUUCUUGGAGCUCAACAUGAGACUUGGUAUUAAAACUCCUAUUGAAUGUUCUUGUUGUUCUAGACCAAUAUUCAUGUAUAUUUGCAAGAAGACUCUUUAAUAGUGUUGUUUGACCCAAACCCAAGUAGUGGGAAGAGAAGCCCUUGUGUUUAUCUUGAAACUUGUCCCCAAAAAUCUACCAAAAGGGAAGGGAGACAAAAGAUCUACCAAAAAGACUAGUUACCAAAAGAAAGAAAGACCACUUUCCUAGGUGUCCAAAAGAGGAAAAGUCCACCAACCCCUCAAAAAGGUGUCUUGCCUAAAAGGUGUAAGACAAGUCAAAUCUUUUUUAAAGGUGAAAAGGGCUCCAAUCUUGUUGUUGUCUUCUCCAAGGGCGGGUAAACCACUUCAAGAACUGAAAUUCAAACCAAAAUUUCAAAGUUGGAAAAAAUAAGAACCUUUCAAAAACCGCAACGAAAAUCCUAGACCGCCAUAUCACCAAAUUCCAUACAAUACCAAAAAUUUUGGCUCAAAAUCUUGGAUUCUUAGUUUCUUAUUGUUGAUUCUUAUUUUUAUUUUGUUGAUUCUUCUACUAAUUGGCAACUAGUAAAUACCUGCUAAGUUGUAAAUUAGUUUUUGAAUCGCUUCUUUAGUCUUUUCGAUAUUUGUGUGCUUUUCUCAUUUUAACUCGUAGUAAAUUCUUUGUUUCAAGUUCAUACGUAAAUUUUGUUUUUGUGUCUUGAGUCGAUCAAACAAGAAUCCAUUCUGGCCGCCAAGUAAAAUUGACAUCCUAUUGACUACUGGAGUAUAAGCAACUUUUAAUAUUCACUGCUCCAAUUGUGGGAAUCACAAAGGUGAGUGUAUAUGAGUGUAGGUGAGAAGCUUUACUACUAAUCUUGUUUGUUCAUUGUGUAGGUACAAAGGUGAUAUAAGGGGAAUAUGUCUUCGAUAUCUGGGGAUUAUUGUGGCUACGACAUGGGAGGCUAUGAUUGUAGUGAGGGUUUUUAUGGCUAUGAAGUUGAGGGAAAUUGCAAAGGCUAUGAAAAUAGCCAUUAUCAAAACUUAGAAAGAUUUGAGAGUUAUGGUUUUGAGGGAGAAAAUGAGGUGAAUGAAGUGUCUAGUUCUAAUAGUGAAUUUGGAGAUAACAUGGGACCUCGCAAUGGAUCCCAUGAUUACGGUAGGGCAUGUGAGGAGUCUUACACUUCUCACUUCGAACCUAGAUUUGGUGUUAGGUAUAACUCUUUCAUUUGCAAAGCUUAUGAGAGCUAUGAUAAGAUACACGUGAGGAGUGUGAAGAUUCAUAUUCUCCACCUUGUAGUACUUCUUAUCAAGGUCGAUAUAGUAUGAAUGGUUAUACUAGCUCUAGUGGAGGUUGUUCAACGAGAAGAAGAGGGUAUGCAUCUCCAAAACUAAGGGAUACUCGUGUGCCUUACAAUGUUGAUCCGAGAAGGAGUGUACAUUUUGGAAAGGUUACUAUUUGUGGGAUACCAGGCUGCCUCGUUGUCUUAAAUGAUAGGUACUAUAGGAACUACAUUCUUCCAUCCAUGGUUGACUACUUGGGGUUGUUUUGAGAGCCUUUACUUGUUCCAUACUCCUUAGAUGGGUUUAAGGUUACUGAGAGGAUAAAGGUUGUCUUCUCCCAAUUUGAAUACCAUGAGGAGGUGUGGUGCAAUUUUCUUCCCUUGACUUACGGUCAUGUAUGUUUAGGUGAUGAUUGGUUUGCACAACAUAAGGUUCAAAAUAUGCAAGAUUGAUCAAAUGUUGUAAGAUACCGAUGGGGAAACCACCUCAUGACAUACAUUUUGCCCAUGCUACAAAAAUAAAUGUUCACCUACUCCAAUCCGAAUGAUGAAGAGAGAAAAAAUUGAGAUGAGUAAGAGUAUGCAAGGUGGUAAUUCGAGAGUGGAAAAAAGAGAGGUUGUGUGGAGAAAAGUGAGGGGAUUACCACCAAAACAUACUAACGAUGUUUGUCCUUCUAUUUCUAAGGAUAUUUGUGUAGGUACCAACAUGGCAAGCGAAGAAGAGCAAGAACGAAGAGAAUUUUCUUCCCAAGCUUGUGGAGGACCUUCACACCAUGGUAAAGAGGAAUCUACUCAAGAUCUUCAAGGUAAAAUAGCUAACUCUUGUACUUUGGCGCGUGUGAAUGAUAAUUGUGUGGCUAGUAUCCUAUUGAGUAUGAGUUGCAACUUACUUACUUGUGAUUCUAAUGAUUCUUUGGCGCUUGUUGAUAAUGGACAUGUUGUGAUUGUGGAUACACUAGUUGAUCCUAUGGGUGAUGAAAUUGACUAUUCUUGUAAGGGCAAUUUAUGUCCACCUAGUGUUAAAGCCAAUAUGUUGAACGAAAGUACAUUGUCUUGUGUAAUUAGUGUUAAUCAACUUAUAUGUAUGAAACUUGCCCGCCACUUGAGGUUAUGUGUGAUGUGCUUAAUAGAACUCAAGUGAGUGAAGUAUUUGAAAAUGUUGGUCAACAAAAUAGGAGUGAACCCGAGAGUUAUUCUUGGGAUAAACUUGUGCUUGAAAUCUCUUUGAAACUUGAUAUUGAUCUUUUAGAGAGUGAUGAACGUGUUUGUCCUGAAUCUGCCUAUGAAAUAGAUCAUGCUCUCUUUAGGUAUAAUAUCUUGUUUGAAGAUGAUAUAAAAACUCCUAAUAAACCUAGUGGUAAAAAUGAUGGUAUAGCUUGCCUUGGAAACUAUGGUCUAUAUGCUAACCCACUAUGGUGUGACAACAGUCCUCCUAAAGAUGGAAAUCUCUUCUUGGAAGAUGAGAGUACUCUUAAUGUCAAGGAAUGUGUGGUCUUGGAAACUACUUCUCCUUCUACUUUGUGUGACUUUAUUGUUAAGAGUAAUCAUGGUGAUGAUUGGGAAACUAGUAGUGAGUACACUCAUGAGGACACCUUAGUAGAAGUCGACUUGAGUGAUACUUUUCUCUACUCUCUAUUCGCUUUGGAUGAUAUGUAUGCUAUUUUAGAGAGUAUGCCGCUUAGUUUGGGUGUAGACCAUGGGAAAGGGGAGUGUUGUCAAGACCCGUGUCUAUGGCCACUUUUCUCGUUUGACCCCGGUUCAAAUGUAGAAAUGGUGAUGUUGGUGCACCCAACUUGUUGCUUAGUCUACAUGAUAAGUAAAGUGUCACUCUUGGUGAAACCCAUAACCAAAUCCUUCGUACAUCUUUCAUUGAGUUUUUAAUAUUUCAUUCAAAGGAUCCUUAGUUAUAUUAAAAAUAUAUGCAACCUUGACAUGUUGAGAUGAUUUUUUGUGCUAACUCUAAUCCUCAUGCCGUGAGGAGUUUGUCUUUGUUUGUCCUUUCUUCGGCUUUGCAAAGUUUGAAUUUGAGGUCAAAUCCUUUUUUAAAAGGGGAGGAUGAUACGGGACAAAUUGCCAUCUUAUCUUUUGAUGACAUCUUUGUAGGCUAACACAUAGAGGCUCAAGACUUGGUCACCACGAGGAUAUAAGAACAUGCAUGGAUGAACCAUUUUGAGCCUACCGUUAAGCAUACCAUACAUCAAGUCCAUGAGUGGAAGAUUGCUUGGAUCAUUGAAGACUUGAGGACUCAUGGAUUUGGACACUUAAUGGCUCAUGGUUUUGGGUCAUCUUCAUUGAGGACAUUUUGGUCACUUUACCUUGCCCAAAAUGCACUCCAUGGACGCCCCUAUCAUUAAGGGUAGUGUAGUCAUUUUGUCUCCUUUUGUAAGAUACUAUAAAUAGGAAAUUUUAGGUCUUCUAUUAUUAGUUGUUUAUUGAUGAAAAUAUGAGACAUUGAGAAUCCUCUCUCUUGAGAGUAGAACACCUUAGUGUAGUUCUUAGUUAGGGCUUGGAUUAGCCAUUGUAGUUUAGGGCUUGGAAAAACCAAUAUUGUUCUUUGCUUGGAAACGGUGGAUCUUGAGAUAAGUUGAUUCCCUUAGCGGUCACCGUAAGAGUGUGGUGUUGUUGUUACAUUCAUUAGGGGUUUUUGAGUUUAAUAUACUCUUUAGUUCCUAAUCUUUGUAAUAAUCAAUGUCUAACUAUCUAUUUUUACCUUUCUUUCAAUUGUGUUAGUGUUUGUUUCUUGUAAUCGUUUAUUCUUACUGAAUUCGAAUCUUUUGUUCAUUCUGUUCAUCUUGUUCUUGUUGUAUUGUUGCUGUUUUGGUAUUAAAACACCUUGUAAACUCGUGAUACUUGUUUUGUUGUUGUUGGACGAAACUAGCACUCAAAGGAGUCCUCGGGCUGCUCUAAAUUUGUGGACUAUUUUGUGUAGUUUUUAUGCAUUCCGUGGUCUUUCUUGUAUCAGACCAACUAAUUUUUGGAUUGGAUUCCUUAAAAUCUGAAAAAUAUAAAAGGUGAAUAUGGGCCGGUUCACCAGUCAUAUGAUCUAUUAAGAUGCAUCGAUAUAAGAUGGUCGCUUGUAUGUUUCUUGUCAACCAAUAGUUUGUCAUUCAUAAAGGUGUUUGCUCAAUAAAAUUGAGUUAAGAGCAUAACUUUUAAAUUGUGCAAUCAAGACAAUUCAUCUUGAUGAUGAUGGUUUGACAUUGAAUGCCUUCGAUAAAUAACUAAACCAUUGGUAAUGAGAACAAAGCUUCAUGUGUUGGUCUGAAAUAUGAUAUGUUGCUUACAAUAGCACUUGUAUGCAUUAGACCUACAAAUUAUGAUUAUUUCUUCCCUUUCAAUUAGUUCAAGAUCAGGAACCAACUAUUCCAUCUAAUAGUUAUUUUGCAGUAUACGAUUAAUGGAUAUAUCAUGAUGCACAAAGAUGAAUUCCUCAAAGAAUAUAGAGGAUGUGAUACGAGGAGGACUAGGAAGCACGAAACAAACACCAAAAUCAGUCCACAAGUUCAAAGAAUCAAGGACCCUUUUGAUGACCACACUCAGAUUCACAAACAAGAACAAUAAUACACGAGAUAGGGGUGUGUUUCAACACCUAUAGCCACCCAAACUAGAUUUAACAACAAUAAUAUGAAGACAAGAUGAACAACAAUAAUGUGGUAAUAAUAACACACCUCACGGGUUACAUUAACAAGAACAAGAAACAACGAUUACAACAAAUAAAUGAUAGAUAGAUAGACUACAUGAAGAUGUAAUUUUAAGAACUCACGAGCCUAUUCCACUCUUGGACCCUUAAUACUACAAAUGAAAAUUCACCUAUCUCUUACGUUAGUAUAAGAGGGACCUCGAUCUCCCAAGAAUCCAACGUUUCCAAGCUUGAAUCCAACAAGAGUGUUCCACACUUAAGUUGAAAUCCUUAGUUACAAUAUUUUGGCCAAGAGGCCUUUCUCACAAGAGACAGAGUUUCAAAUGUUACAACUUUCAAUAUUCAUCAAAACAAACUAAUAAAACCCUAAAGUGUUCUUUAUAUAGUUAUUACAAAAUAGAAGCUAAGAUGUGAGCUAGGCACCCUUAAAGUAUAUUUAGGGGAUCUUCUUUACACUUUAAGUGUGAGAUUAGGGUUGGUUUGGUGUGUUUUAAGUCCUUCACUCGCACACUCCAAGUCUCGGGCUCAUUACACUCUCACAUGCAUCCAUCUUCCUGGUCAUACUUGUAUCAUCCUCCCCUCCUUAAAAAGGAUUCGACCUUGAAUCCAUGCCUUGCAAAAUCAAAGAGAGACAAAUGAGCACACUUUCUCAUGGCAUAAGGGUUAGUGUUAGCAAAAAUAAAUAACAAGGUUAUACACUCUAAACACUCAAAACAGUCCACACUAAAAAAAUGAAAUCAAGGAUCUUUUGAGUUCAAGUAUCGAUAUGCCAAGGAGGUUCAUAUUUGACAUAUAACCAAGAGUCCUUAGUGUUAAACAUUAUGAAGCCAUCGAUAAAUUCACCAAGGACUUGGCUAUAAUAAGCAUAAAUAAGCAAUGCACCUAAGCCAAAAGUAAAUCUUCCCCACCCUAAGAUGGCACCGGGAUCAAAUGGGAAGAGGGCCAUAGACAUGGGUCUAGACAACACUUCUAUUUCCUGUAGCCUUUACCAUAUAUACACGGCCUACUCUCUACAUUAGCAUACAUAUCAUCACAAGAAAAGAGAGAGUAGAUAAAGGUAGCACUCAAGUCUACUUCUAGUAUGUUGUCCCCGAGAAAUCCACACAAAGAAGAAGAGGAAGUAAUUUUAGAGACUACACAUUCCUUGUCUGUGAGAGUACUCUCAUCUUCCAAGAAAAGAUUUCCACCUUGAGGAGGAAUGUUGUCACACCAUAGUGGGUUGGCAUAUAGGUUAUAGCCUCCAAGACAAGUUAUGCCAUUAACUUCACUCACGCCACUAGGUUCCUUAUGAGUGAUUAAACUAUCUUCAAACAUGAUAUUAUACCUAAAAAGAGAAAGAUCUACCCCGCAGAUAGAUUUGGGAUAAGCAAGCUCACUCUCUAUAAGUUCACUAUCAAGUUUCAAAGAUGUUUCACGUACAUGAUCAUCCCGAUAAUCCAAACAAACAUUAGCAUCUACACCACAAGACAAGCUCAAGGGUUCACUCAUAUUUCCUUGACCAACAUCUUCAAAUUCUUCACUCACUUGAGAUUCAUUAAUCACAUCACACAUAUUCUCAAGUGGUGGGAAAGUUAUACAUACAAGUUGGUCAACACAAUUUUCACACGAUGAUGUACUUUUAUUCAACACAAUAGCUUCAAUAGUAGGUGGACACAAAUCGAUCUUACUAGAAGAGUCGAUUCGGUCAUCUAUAGGGUCAACUAGUGUAUUCACUCGCAUGACAUGUGCAUCAUCCAUAGUUUUUAAGGAAUCAAUAUAAUCAUAUAUAGGUAAACUAUUACUAACACUCAACGACUUAUUAGCCACAAGAUCAACAUUCAAAUGUACCAAAGUGUAAGAGUUAGCUAUUUUACCUUGACGUUCAUGAGUAUGUUCGUCUUUAUCUCGAUGUGAAAGUUCUUCACAAGCUUGGGUAGCAACUUUCUUCGGGAAUCUCUCAUCGCAAGGUAUUUGGAUAAUUAGAUUUUGAGGGAAAAGUUUGGGUAACAAUUGGCGUAUAAUUUCAACGUUCCAUUUCAUAUCAUCAAGAUUGUCAUCAAUGCGAUCAAACGUGGCAUUGAAAUUAUGGGAAGCCAUGGUACCUAAAAAAAGACAACAACAAAUAAAAGAAAACAACUAGUUAGUUCAAAAAGAGCCUCACCACACUCUCACUCUCGGGUUUACCUCACACUUGGUUUCACAAGUGUUGAAAGCCGGUUUGUACUUUGCGAGUGAUUAAGGGUCAAGUCUACUCUUGCCCGGAAUAGAUUUUCAUUUGAGUUGACUCAAAAACAAAUUGUUUAUGGAAUUGAGCCAACAAGAUAGAAUGAAUUCACAAAAGAUAAAAGCACAUAACAAACGCUUAACAUAAAUGAACGAACAAAGAGACUAACUAACAAUCUAGUAGAUGAGUACUAGUUUGCCAAUUAUUAUUGGAACCAACGAAAUUGAAACUAAGGAACAACAAACGAAAACUAUUAAAUCUGAAAUUUGAGCCAAAAUUUUAUGUGUGAACAGUAACUUGAGGAUGUGGCAGCCACAUAUUGGUUGCGGUCUUUCUAACGAAUUGCUAUUCUCAAAUGUUCAUGUCUUAGUCAAAAAUUUAAUUUGAAUUGGUGGAAUUUUGUUUUAGAAGGGAAAAAUAAGCCUUGCAGCCUUUUUCAAUUCUCAAUUUUCAAAACUUGACUUUUUCUUGUACUUCUCCUUAAGACAUGGAUCCUUAAAUCAUGAAAUAGUGUUGAAAAGUGGUUAAGAAUUGAUUGAUAGGUCUUGGUUUGUUGUAGUGUCUUUCAAGACUAACAAAUAAUACACCCUUUUCCUUCAACUUUUUGGAUUUAGCAUUCAAUUUUAUCUUCAACAAUAUAUGAAGGUGGUGAUGAACAUCAAGAACAACAAUAAAAACACCAAGAACUACAACAAUAAUCUCCAAGAACACCAAUAAUUUUCCAUAUGGCUAACCUCACAACAAUAAUGUCUCACACAACCAAGACUACAACACUUCAAAAAAAUAUUCUUAGGCUACCAAUUUAUAACAACAUUCACGUCCAAUCUUAAGAACAACAACUUCAAUGUCCACAACAAUCAACAAUGUCACCAAUACACGGCCAAAGGUAAAGCCACAACAACAAUGCCAACACAAUGGCCAAGUUAUGUUCACAAUAACAAUAUCAACAUUUCAAGCUCAAACUAAGAUUUAAACUCAAGAGUGUUAGAUAUGAAGAAAACUAACACUAGAAAAAACUAAACAAGUAAAAAUCUCGUCCAAGACACAACAAUAACACAAUUUUGGCCAAGAACACAAACACGGACAAAUUUGCUUCUUUUUGAUUUUGUAGUUUUCUAACACUUUUUUUUAUUUUUAUAACAAGAAAGGCCAAUAUUGAUCUUAUAGGAACAAUAUCAAGCCAUGCUUCAAAGAACCGAGGACUCUUUUGAUGACCACACUAGGAUACACAAAUAAGAACAACAAUACACGAGAUAGGGGUGUGCUUCAACACCUAAACAACCACCCAAACUAGAUUUAACAACAAAAAAUAUGAAGACAAGAUGAACAAUAAUAAUGUGGUAACAAUAACACAUCUCACGGGUUACAUUGACAAGAACAAGAAACAACGAUUACAACAAACAAAGGAUAGAUAGAUAGACUACAUAAAGAUGUAAUCUUAAGAACCCAAAAGCCUAUUCCACUCUUGGACCCUUAACACUACACACUAUAAUUCACCUAUAUCUUACAUUGGUACAAGAGGGACAUCGAUCUCCCAACCAUCCAACAUUUCCAAGAUUGAAUCUAACACGAGUGAUUUCACACUCAAGUUGAAAUCCUUAGUUACAAUAUUUCGGCCAAGAGGCCUUUCUCACAAGAGAGAGAGUUUCAAAUGUUACAACUUUCAAUAUUCAUCAAAACUAACUAAUGAAACCCUAAAGUAUUUUUUAUAUAGCUAUUACAAAAUAGAAGCUAAAAUAUCCAAAAUGCCCCUUAAGAGCUAGGCGCCCUUCAAGUGUAUUUAGGGGCUACCUUGUUGUGUUCUGAGGAUCCUCUUUACACUUCAAGUGUGAGAUUAGGGUUAUUUUGGUGUAUUUUAAGUCCUUCACUCGCACACUCCAAGUCUCUGGCUCAUUACACUCUCACAUGCAUCCAUCUUCGUGGUCGUACUUAUAGAAGGAUGUAUGUUAGUUUUUCUAACAUAAGAGGGAGAUUAGAAGCAUCUAAAAAAUAUGUUAGGAAUUAUCAUCAGAUCCUCAUUCAAAAUAUAAUUCAAAUCAUAUUUAAGUUGCAAAGUUCCUAUUUGUGUCCCUAAAGGACAAAACCUAUGCAUACGUGAAGCAUGGUAGACCAAUCGGUUUCAAAUGAAAUAAUUCUUGAAAAGAAUAAGGAACAAAUAAUCAUAAUAAAAAGGCAAUGUGCUCUUGAAGAGCUUACGACAUAACACUUGAUGAAACCUUAUGAAAGGUUCAGGUACCUGAAAAUAAUGAAGUGAUGAGAUCUCAACAUGUUAUGUCAAACUGUAAAUCGAUACAAAAUGAUAUAUCAUCAAUAUCUUUAAUACAAUAUUAGCACAAUAUUGUAAAGAAUACGAGGAUCUGAAUUCUACGUUUAUUAAAGCAUGCUGACGACAAAAAUAUUUAUCAAGUGGCAUGAAAGGAUGCAUCUUGGUAAGCAUAAAAACUGAUUUAAUUUGCAGUCCAGACACUUAAAGAUGUCACACAUGAUAUGAUGAAUAUUGUCACUUGACAAAAUUUACAUGAAAACUUGUUUAAGGAUUCAAAACGCUUAAAGCAUAUAAGAGUUUCUAGGAAACUUAUUUAUAAUCCUUAUAUUGCAUAAGUUUAUAACUUAAAAAUUAUUGGAACUCUUAGAGAGUUUACAAAAGUAAUACAUUAUUUGCUGAAAUGAGAAAUAUGAAGUAUUAUAUCUUAGUGCAAUUGAUGCACAACACUAAUGUAUCUUGUAAAUACUACAAGGCCUGAUAUAACCUUUUAAGUCAAUUUAUUAGUAAGGUGUAUAUAUUUUAGCUCCUAUUAGGAGACAUCAAAAUAAGAUAAAAGACAUAAGCUUAUUUUAUUCUAAAGAUUGCAGUCCAUAUCUUAUUGGUCAUGCUGAAGUUGGGUACUUAUCUGACAUGUAUAAAGCUCGGUCUUAAAUAGGUUAUGUGUUCAUAUGUGGUGGUACUGUCAUAUCUUGGAGAUAAACAAAGCAGUAUAUCAUAGUCACUUCAUCAAACCAUAUUGAGAUAAUAGUUAUUCAUGAAGCAAGCCGAGAAUGUUUGUGGUUGAGUUCCAUGGUACAUCUCAUUUGAGAAAAAUGUGGUUUGAAAUGUGACAAAGUAUCCAUAAGUUUUUAUGAGUAUAUAAUGCAACAUGCAUAUCACAACUUAAAGGAGGAUUCAUAAAAGAAAAUAGAAUGAAGCACACUUCAUCAAAGCUUUUCUACAAACAUGAGCUCCAAAAUAAUGGUGAUAUUAACGUGCAACAGAUUCGUUCAAGUGACAAUAUGGCUGGUUGAUUCACCAAGUCUCCUUCAAUUACAACUUUCAAGAAGAUGGUGCACAAGAUGGGGAUUCAAAGGCUCAAGAAUGUUCUCAUUAGGAGGAGUUAAUACGCGUUGUACUCUUUUUCCCUUACGAGGUUUUGUCCCACUGGUUUUCCUUGUAAGAUUUUUAAUGAGGCAACCUAUAUGCGUAUUGUUAGAGAUGUGUACUCUUUUUCUUUCGCUAGAUUUUUUUUUCACUGGAUUUUUUCCAGUAACGUUUUAACGAGGCACAUUAUAUAUUAAUUACACAUACAAGGGGGAGUGUUAUAAAUAUAUUAUCAUAUAUGGUGAAUGUCUACUUUACCAUAUAUCGUGAAUAUCUACAUUACCAUAUAUAGUGAAUAUCUAUUUAUGAAAAAGUUAGAAAUCCGAAGGUUUGUUUUCCCCUAUAAAUAAAGGGGGUUUUCCUUCAUUGUAAUGAACCCAUCAAGAGAAUCCCUCAAGAGAAAUAAAAUUACUCUCUAUUCUCUCUACUCUUCUUGUUUAUUCUUUAUUAGUUUAUAACAUAUCUACUUUUAUUUAUUGGUUAACUUUGCUUUUAACUGUAGUGUAGGGCUAAAUAUAUUCUUGCCAUUAGCAAAAUUCACAUAUAUGCCAGCAAUUUAACAAAUUUUCCCAAAUCAAUAAAAUUUAUCUUGCUUCAAUUAAAAUUACCUAAUAACCUCUUUUAAUUCAAACCACACCACUAAAUUAAAUAAACUCAUACCAACUUAAAUUUAAUUUAAAAAAACAUCUCUCCAAUCUAUAAACUCAAAUAAAAUACUAAAUCUAAGGUAGACUUGGUUGCACAUAGUUCUACCAGCAAACAUCUAAACAAGCCGAUUCCAAGAGUGCGUUUGGUAUGAAGGAGAAUAUUUUUCAUAAAAUAUUUUUUAAUUUUUUUAAUAUUUGGUUGACUUAAAUGUUUUGAAAAAUAUUUUUCAAAUGAACUUAUUUUCUUAAAUUUCAGCAAAAUGACUUCUCUUCAACAAGAAAAGAAAACAUUCUUCAAAACUCUCUUUCAUUCUCACACCCUAACUUUUCAGCCUAACUCAAGUCUUAGGUAACGAUUUCUAACACUAAAUCAAGAUCCGACUCUCUAUCCCAACUCUCGAUUUUCAACUCGAAAGCCAACUCCCGAACUUGAUCCGAGACCCGAAUCUCAAUCUUGAUUCAAGACAUAGGACCUAAGAUCCGACCUAGACUCGAGACUCGGCUAUAAAACCAGACCUGGUCCAAAAUUCUGACCUUGACUCGGGACCCAAAAAUUGAUCCGACCUUGAAUUCAAUCCAAGAACAACUCCCAACACCAAUUCGUGAUCCAACCUCGAGAUAAAAGUUUGAAGUCCUAUAUCAACCCGGCUCUCGACUCAAGACUAAUCUCCAUAUCCUAACCUCGACUCAAGUCCCAAAUUGAAAGUUGCGGUCACAUCUCACUAGUAUUCGUUAGAACAUGCACAAUGAAAGCAACAAUUCUACAGGAUCUACAACUUACAUAUAAUCUAGAUAACAUAAUUUAAUAUGGGUUUCAAUGAAAUUAAUAACAUGUUAAAGCUUUUACAAAAGUCGUCCAAAGCAAUGCUCUCCAGGACUGCAAUCUUCUAUUAUUUCUUGACUAACUUUUGUAGUCAAACUUGUGUGAGAAUGUGAAUUUGUACUUUGAAAAAAGGAUCAUCUUCUUUCUGUCAACUUACCUCUAUUUAUCCUAAUCUUUUAUUCAAGAAGGAAAGGAAAGAGGCAGAUGUUUCAGCCUUUAAGCUGAUUUAAUUAUCCAUGAUGAACAAAAUAUUUUUUCAUCCUUAAUAAUCCUAUUAAGAUCAAAAACAUUUUCAGCCCUUUAAGUCCAUAUUUAUUGACCAUUAAGUUGAUUAAUGGUACCAUAUUGGGCCAAAUAUUUUUCAUUAUUUUCAGCCUUUUUAAGACCAUGUUUAUUGACCAUUAAGCUGACUUAAUGGUUCCAUAAUGAGCAAACAUUUUUCAUUAUUUAUAGUCAGAAGUAUUAUUUUCCUUAUAGAAGACCAGUAAAUAAUAUUACUUCUUCCCGUAGGCUUCUUUUAUUUUUCAAAAUUCAUUAGUUAAUCAACUAUAACAGGGAUCACAUAUUCUUUAAGUGAGACUUCCAAUCAUGAUAUUAAUUUGGUAAUGAAUGAAUUAUCAUAUCAUAAUAAUUACAUAUUAUUUCACUAAAAAUAUAUAAUUGCACUCCUCGAUUUAAUUCAAAAUCUUUCAUUACAUCUUAUGUCACUCCCCAUGUUAGAAUUACCGAUACCAAAUAAUUAAUUAAAUUCUCCAAAAAAAUUAACUCAUUGAUUAAUUUCAUCCUUUAUUUAUAAUUCUUAACUUAUUUCACAUGAUAGAUAUAAAAUUCACCUGCAGGGUUUUCACGUGAAAACUUAUAAGCAACUAUAAAAGGGUGUCUUCUAUCUCAUUAGUAUUUCACUGAGUAGUUUGUCAUUAUCCAACCUAUUAGGAAUAUAAUGACUCAUAAAAGAGUCUCACCUUUUAAUAGAUUAAAAUAAUAAAUCAAACCACAUAGAUCAUAAUAAUUAUAUCAUGAUUAAGAGUAUAAGUACAUGUAAUGGACUACAGAUGUUACUUAUUAAUAUUUAGAACAUAAACAAGCAUCUCUAAUUGGUCCGAUCAAUACAUACGAAAUGUACUAGUACAAGAAGUUGAAAUAUUAUCACUCUCAUAAUUAAGAUCAAAUUAUAUUUAAUCUUGUGCUAUAAUCAUCAAGAUGUUUGUCCCACUCAUAUUUAAUUGUGAACAUUAAUUUAUUAUAUAUAAAAACCGACAAUUUUAAUCUUCCGUGCAUGAGUUAAAAUACUCCAUACACAAUAUUGUCUACUAUAUAAGUAAAGGACACACAUAGGGGCGGAUCUAUUAAGACCCGUGAGGGUGCCACGCCACCCGCAAAUUUCGACAAAAAUUCUAUGUAUAUAAGUAUAAAUAUACAUAAUGUAUACAAAUAAAACAGAUGCCACCUAGUGACACAACAAUGUACUUGGCGCAAUUGGCAACUGGUCGUCUAGUCCAACCAAGGGGUGCGGGUUCAAACCCUGUUGGCAUCUUAAAUUUUGCAUAAAUUCAAUUGUUCUCUUUUUAUUUAUUUUUAAAGCCAACUUGUUAAGUUUGCUACAUAAAUUCAAUUAUGCUCUUUUCGUUCGUUUUUAAAGACAACUUGUUAAGUUUGCUACAUAAAUUCAAUUAUGUUCUUUUCAUUUGCUUUUAGUUAUUUAGUUUUUGACUUGUAUUAAUUUAUUUAUUUUUUAAUAAUUUAAUUUAUUAGUCUUUGACUUUUAUUUUAUUUCUCAUUAAUUAAUUAGUAUUUGUUUGAUAUAAAAUUUAAAAGAUGAAUAAGUUUUGUUUUCUCUCCUAUCAAAUUAAAAAAAAUUGUCCAGAUAUUGAUAAACAUAAAAAUAAUUAUACACAAAAUUGAGGUUAAAUAUUGUGAAAAGUCACAAUUUUUUUACUUUUAAAGAAAGAUAAGUAAGUAAAAAGCUGAUGCAGCCAAAAAAAAUUUCUAAGGAGGUUAAAAUCUAAAGAAGUAAACACACGAACUAAUCGAAGAAGGUUCAAUAUCUAUUAUACAUACAUAAAAGUAAUUUUAAUCAUAUAUAAAUAAUAUAGUUUUUUUUCGAAGGGGGGCCUUGACCAUAAACUGGUUCUCAUUCAAAAUUUGAAGUCUUCGGUUGAUUUAAUCGAUGAGUCUACUUGGCACCCAAAGAUUCAGAAUUCUGGAUCCGCCUCUGGACACAUAUGUUAACACAAUGAUCUAUUCAAAUAAAGAUUUUAUUAAUAUAAUAAAUUUUCUUUACAUGAGAUUAAAAUAUAAUACUAUAACACAAACUACAUGAUUAAUAGUAUAUCAUAAUAGUAUUUGCCUGAAUUACAUGAUGAUCUUGUGGACAAUAUUUUAUUCUUACCAACCAAAUGUUAGAAAAUAAGAAAAUCACUUAUUUUUUAAAAUAAUAUUUUUUAGGAAAACAUUUUCUAUGAACAUAUGAUGGUUUGUUUUAACAAAAUCGUCACAACAGGUUGCUCGAACCGCCAUAAAUUACAUUGUUAAAUAUGCCAAUUUUUUGGUUAUUUAAUACGACAGUUUGUAACCAUGGUACUGCUUAUGUUAUUCCUGCAAACCUAGAAACAAAAUACUGAUUUAAAAGAAAAAAAUUCAGGUCCAUUGAAAAUUGUAUUUCUUUAAAUUUAUCAUAGGAUAAAUUGGAACACUACUCUGCAAUACUAACAAUAGAAAUUACACAAUGAAGUAAAUCACACUUACCGUUAUUUCAUUGAAGAAAAAUACACAGAAGAUGAAAGAAAAAUUAUGUCUCUUUUUAUUUUAGUGAGUCGAAAGGCAUUUUUCUUCGUAAUAGAAACACACCCCAAGUCUUAGUGGCAGACUGGCAGUACGGAAUUUCACCAGAGAUAACACAUUGUAUGGACAUUGGAAGCUGUCCACUGUUUAAAUCUUUUUUGACAAAAAAUUUCGCAUGAGAUACCUUUUGAUCAUAAGCAUUCAUAAAUAAUUCCCUGGCUGCAAAAAGUAUCUCGUGCAAGAAAAGGAAGAACUACAAAUUCAAUAAUCAUAUUAGUUUUAGUUUUCAAUCAACCAAAAUAACAAAUCACAAAUGCAUUUAGGACGAGUAUAUCUAGAUCACUUAGGAUUCAAUCAUCCUCGCAUUGAUAUUGCAGGCAUUAAUAGAUAGGAUAAAUGAAAACCUCUUCAUGAAAGUGAUGAAGAAGAUUGGAGAGAUGAAUGUUUUAGAUUUAAUUUGGUAUGAAUUUAUUUAAUUUAUGGAUCGGGUUAGGUUUAAAAGAGAGAAUUGGGUAAUUUCAAUUGAAAUGAGGCGACUUUUAGGAAAAUCCAUUAAACUAAGGGGUAUACAUGUGAAGUUUUCUUUUGAAGACAUGGUUAUUUAGCCCUAUAAUAUAACUAAGGGCAAUGUUAAUCAAUAAAUGAAAGUAGAGGGGUAACUUUGACCAUUUUCUAUUUUGAUUACUUUAAAGUGACAAAAAUUAGCAUUCCCUUAAGUUCAUCUUUACUUAUUCAAAUUUGAUUCUGCAUCCUCCAUUAAAAACAAUGUUUGACAUGAAUAUUUUACUAUAAUAUUUAUAUUAAUUGAUGUUUAAUUUAGGCCAUGAAAAAAGAUUUGAGAAAUAAGUAAUUAAUGUUGAGGUUAAAAUAUGAAUANNNNNNNNNNNNNNNNNNNNNNNNNNNNNNNNNNNNNNNNNNNNNNNNNNNNNNNNNNNNNNNNNNNNNNNNNNNNNNNNNNNNNNNNNNNNNNNNNNNNNNNNNNNNNNNNNNNNNNNNNNNNNNNNNNNNNNNNNNNNNNNNNNNNNNNNNNNNNNNNNNNNNNNNNNNNNNNNNNNNNNNNNNNNNNNNNNNNNNNNNNNNNNNNNNNNNNNNNNNNNNNNNNNNNNNNNNNNNNNNNNNNNNNNNNNNNNNNNNNNNNNNNNNNNNNNNNNNNNNNNNNNNNNNNAUAUAUGUAGACAAGUGAGGAUUGCUAAAGUAGUUGAGCACCUCCAUCGUUGACCAGUAGGUUGAUGGCUCGAGUUACGCUGGAGGAUAAGUGAGGACACUAUUGAUCCUCCUAAGGAGUGGUGCGGGAAAAAAUAUAGUAUUUUUUUAUAUGCUAAAAAUAACAAGUAAAAGUAAAAAUAUGUAUAGUUGACAAGCAAAAAUGAAUGAAGAGAUCACUUUACUUAACAAAAUUUGUUUAGUCAUGACCAUUGAAAAAUAAUAGUAAUUUUUUCAAGUGGGGCAAUGGUAUGAUACUUUAAUUGCCGUCGAUUUGAACUACUAAUCUUGUUAGCGAUCUUAUGGAGUUCCAAUUGUUUCUAUUGUAGGUCAAGUUCCACGUAAGAUGAUUGGAACAAAUGCAUUUCAAGAAAUUCCAUUAAUUGAGGUAACUAGAUCAAUUACCAAUCAUAAUUAUCAAAUUAUGGACGUUGAUGAUAUUCCUAGGAUUGUGCGAGAGGCAUUUUUCUUAGUAAGAUUAGGUCUACCUAGACCAGUUUUAAUUGAUAUUCCAAAAGACGUUCAACAACAAAUGGUGAUACUUAAUUGGGAUCAGCCAAUGAAGUUGCCAGGUUAUAUGUACAGACCCACUCAACCACCAAAAAAGAUGUUGGAUCAAAUUGUUAGACUAAUUACUGACUCAAAGAAGACGGUUUUAUAUGUUGGUGGUGGGUGCGCACAAUCCAGCAAGGAGUUAAGGCGCUUUGUUGUGCUCACAGGUAUAUACAAUAUAUUCUAAUUAUCAGUAGAAAUGUAGAGAGUCAAUUCUUACUACCAAUUCUAUUUUAUUAGAUCAAUAUGACUAUUUAUAUAACUAGCUAGGCCGAACAUACCUGGGAUUGAGGUGUUUUUGCACGCACAGGUAUUCCAGUGGCGAGUACUUUGAUGGGUUUGGGAGUGUUUGUUAUUUUCAAUGUUUUCGGGUACAAGAAUCUGUAUUAUCUACACAACAACUUCAAUCCAAGUUCAAGUAUAAAAACAAGAAUGCCUAUGAAGUUACACAAUACCUCCAACACAAGAUUAUAAAUAAUUUAUCGAAGAAGUGUGUUAUAUUUUCAGAAAUGAGAUGAAAUAGAAAUUUAAAGCCAAGUCCCCCAACUACAUGGAGUGCCCUUAAGGAAUAAUUCUCUUCACUGUACUCGAGAUUAUGGAAUUUUUCUCCCAGGAUAAAAUGACUUUCAAUCUAACAAUAGCGGUACCUCAAAUUAUUGGAUUCGUCGAACUCACUCAACGGCUAAUGAUCACAAUGAGUUUUUUGUAGAAAAGAAGAGUGUUUUUGAUGUCAAAAAUCAUGUCUAUACCUGAGGAAUAUGUCAGGUAUUUAUAGCCUUAAGGUGUCCCUUCAGAAAGGAAGCAUUGGUUUUAGCAAAAAUGCACCUAUUCAGUACAAUCACAUCACUUGCGCCCAGUCUGUGCUGGACUUGCGCUUGAACUGCGGCCACAGGUGACACUGUCCAAAUUUCAGUAAGUACCUGCACUGCCCAGAUUGCCCCAUUGCGUGAAACAGUGUGCCUUGUACCUCGAAGGGUCGCAUCCCUUCGAGAUACUUUGCGUAUGCGCUUGCAUGGCAUCCGAAAUGCACCCACACAUGGAGUAAAAUAUUUAGAUUAAUUUUUCACUUGUAAAACAAGUUUCAAAUAAAAUUCUUCUAGAAGAUAGAUCUUGUCGAUCGAUCAUUUGACAAAUUCAAAUUCAAAUCCAAAAUCGAAGCCGAACCGAGCGAGGGACAAUCUCAAUAUAAACACAUAAAACUUCUUUCUCCCACCAAUGUGCGAGAAUUUAGUAAGCUUUCCAUAAAAGAGUACACUUUCUAUUUUAGUGUCUCUCUUUCCCUCCACUAUUUUUUCCUUCAUUUUUCAUUCAUACAUACACCUUGAACCCAACAAUCUCUCACAUGAAUGAGGAAUAUCUAUCUUUUAAAGAAAGAGACGGACAAGCAUGUAAUCAUUGAGCAAAGAUUGAUUGCAUCUGGAUAAGUGGGUUUCCCUUUAAAUUUUUCGUAGUGAACAUGCAUCAGAUGCACUCGGACAAUCGAUAGAUUUGAUAUCUUUGAACCAUCGAGCUUUAAUGUACACCCAGACAACACAUGUCACACAACCAACCUUUUAUCGAUUAUGGUUCUCACGGUUUUGUUCUUUUCAGUCAUGAACACGUUUCGAUUUUAUGAGAGCUUAGAGAAUAGGCCUUUAAACAUUCUCCUUGAAACGACUUCCACUUUGCCCUCACAUAGGUGAUUUCUAAAUGUUCAAUCCUAUAGAUUAAAUUAUUUUUUCAAAUCUGCUAAAUUUAGAUAAUCAUUAAAAGAAUUUUCACCUUAAGUCUUAUCCUCGUUUACUAAACAUUGUCUACAUCAUGAGAAUGUGUUGGUAUAUUGACAAUGUUGAACAUAUCAGACACAACUUUUUUUAUCUCCUUAAACCUAGCCCUUGGGAUCUCCAGUCUGCUAGGUAGAGUUACCAUCAUGUUGACCUGUCCUAGGCCUUAAACCAAUUCCCUUGGAUGUCUUCUCAACUCCUUCUCAAGAUAGACCUUUUGUAAGUGGAUCCGCCAUAUUAUCCUUUGACUUUACAUAGUCAACAGUGAUAAUUCCACUAGAGAGAAAUUCUCUAACAAUAUUAUGUUUUCGUCUUAUGUGACGAGAUUUAUCAUUAUACAUCAUGCUCUCUGCCCUACCUAUUAUCGUUUGGCUAUCACAAUGUAUACAUACUGGUGCCCCUGAUUUGGACCGAUAAGGAAUAUCUUCCAAGAAAUUCUAGAGCCAUUCUGUUUCUUCACCGGCUUUAUCCAAUACGAUAAAUUCAGAUUCCAUUAUAGAGAGAGCAAUACAUGUCUGUUUGGAUGAUUUACAAGAGACUGCUCCUCUACCGAUAGUAAAUACAUAUCCAUUCAUGGAUUUUACUUCGUUCGAUCCAGUGAUCCAAUUUGCAUCAUUUUAUCCUUCAAGUACAGCAGGAUAUUUAUUAUAAUGCAAAGCAUAGUCUUGAAUGUACUUAAGAUACCCCAAAACUCUUUUCAUUGCCAUCCAAUGAGUUUUGUUGGGAUUACUCGAAUACCGACUCAACUUACUAAUAGUGCAUGCUAUGUCUGGUCGUGUACAAUUCAUUAUAUGCAUUAAACAUCUCAAUACUCUUGCAUACUCCAAUUGUGAGUUACUUUCACCUUCAUUCUUUCAAAGUGUGAAGCUCACAUCCAAUGGAGUCUUGGCAAUACCAAAUUCCAUGUACUUGAAUUUGUCAAGUACUUUUUUGAUGUAGUGAGACUGUGACAAUGCCAAUCCUUGGGUUGUUCUAUAGAUUUUUAUUCCUAAGGUUACAUUCGCAACUCCAAGGUCUUUCAUAUCAAACUUGCUCUCACACAUUCAUUUUGUAGUAUUUAUGUCUAAAAUGUCUCUGUUGAUGAUCAACAUAUCAUCCACAUACAAACAAAUAAUGACUUGGUGAUUUGGAGUGUCUUUAAUGUAAACUCAUUUAUCACAUUCAUUAAUCUUGAACCCGUUUGCCAACAUGGUUUGUUCAAAUUUUCAUUCUAUUGUUUAGGUGCUUGUUUUAAUCCAUAAAAUGACUUAACAAGUUUAUACACCUUAUUUUCUUUUCCUGGAACCAUAAAACCCUCAAGUUGUUCCAUGUAUAUUUCUUCCUCCAGUUCUCAAUUUAGGAAUGUUGUUUUCACAUCCAUUUGAUGAAUUUCAAGACCAUAUACCACCGUCAAGGCAAUUAACAUUCAAAUUGACGUUAUCCUUAUUACAAGAAAGUAUGUAUCAAAGUAAUCAAGGCCUUCCUUUUGUUUAAAGUCUUUUACUACAAGUCUUGCUUUGUAUUUGUCAAUAGUAUCAUCCGCUUUCAUUUUCCUUUUGAAGAUCCAUUUAGAACCUAAAGGUUUAUUUUCUGGAGGAAUAUCAACCAACUCCCAUGUAUGGUUGCUUAAGAUUGAAUCAAUCUCACUAUUGAUUGCCUCUUUCCAAAAGGAUGAAUUUGAAGAUGUCAUUGCUUCUUUAAAUGUUUGAGGCUCAUUUUCAAAGACAAAUGUUACAAAAUCAGAUCCAAAUGAAGUUGACGUUCUUUGACAUGUACUACGUCUUGGAUUAUCAUCAUUGUGUACAUUCUCACUUGGUUCAUCUCGAGGUCGUUUAGACCCCCCACUAGUUUGUUCAUGUCUAGUUUUAUACGGAUAAAUGUUUUUAAAGAAUUUAGCAUUAUGUGAUUCAAUUACCAUAUUUAAUUAAUAUUCGAAUGUUCAAAAUUUAUGAACCAAAAAUCAACAUGCUUUACAACUUUUAGCAUAUCCUAUGAAUAUGCAGUCCACCAUCUUAGGUCCUAUCUUUACCCUUUUUGGCACAGAUACUUGAACCUUCGUUGGAAACCCCCACACUUUAAAAUAUUUUAAGUUGAGUUUCCUUCCUUUUAAUUUUUCAUAUGAAAUUGAUUAUGUCUUAUUAUAGGAAACUCUAUUGAGUAUUCGAUUGGCUGUAAGGAUAGCCUCCCCCCACAAGUUUUGUGAUAAACCUGAAUUUAUAAGUAAGACAUUCAUUAUUUCCUUCAAAGUUUGUUUUUUCCUUUUCACAAUUCUAUUAGAUUGAGGUCAAUAUGGGGUCGUCGUUUGGUCGACAAUUUCAUUCUCUACACAUAUUUUGGCGAAGGGAGAUUCAUAUUCUCUGCCCCUAUCACAUUUUAUAGUUUUUUUUUUCUCUAACUGAUUUUCAACUUCAGUUUUGUAUUGCCUAAAAGUAUCUAUUAUUUCAUCCUUACUAUUCAGCAAGUAGACAUAACAAUAUCUAGUGAAAUCAUCAAUAAAAGUUAUGAAAUACUUUUUCUCACCACAUGAUAGUGUUGACUUCAUAUCACAAAUAUCAGUGUGUAUUAAGUUUAAGGGGUCGGACUUUCUUUCAACGGACUUAUAUGGAUGCUUAGCAUACUUUGAUUCCACACACAUUUGACACUUUGAUUUAUUGCACUCAAAGUUUGGCAAAACUUCUACGUUAAUCAGUUUUUGUAAAGUUUUAUAAUUGACAUGUCCUAAACGUUCAUUCCACAAUUCAUUAGGCUCAAGCAAGUAAGAAGAAACAAAACUUUUAUUGAUUUCAAUAGUCAUUACAUUCAUUUUGAAUAGGCCCUCAUUGAGGUAGCCUUUUCCUACAUACACUUCUCCUUUACUAAGUACAAUUUUUCAGAAAAUAAAUACAUAUUUUAAUCUAUUUUUUUAUAAAAGUGAUACAAAAAUCAAGUUCUUCCGUAACUUCGGUACAUAUACGACAUUGUUGAGUGUCAACACUUUGCCUAAAGUCAUUUUCAAGCACACUUUUCCUGUUUUUUAUACUUUUGUAGUAGCGGAGUUUGCCAUGUAGAUCUUUUCUUCUCUUUGAGCUAGAGCGAACAUCGAAAACAACUCCUUAUUAGUACAAACAUGGCUUGUGGCAUCGAAAUUCAUCCACCAUUCGCGAGGAUUUUCCACCAAGUCGUAUUCAGAUAGCAUGGCACACAAAUCAUCCGUUUCUUUCUUGGACUCAACCAUAUUUGAUUGGUAUUUCUUAUUCCCUUUCUUCAAGGUACGACAAUCCGUAUAUUUUUGGCCAAUCUUGCCAUAGUUGAAGCAUUUUUCAUUGAAUUUCUUCUUGGGUUGAUUGCUUUUAUUUUCAGCUUUCUUUCACUUUUCGAGUUGUUGUGGUCAUCUUCUACAAUGUUUGCUCUAUUUAUUGCAGAAUUUCCUCUUGACCUUCUUUACGCAGCUUUAUUGUCUUCUUCAAUAUGCAGUCAUACUAUUAGAUCUUUGACUGACAUCUCCUUACAUUUGUGUUUCAAAUAGUUCUUGAAGUCCUUCCAUAUAGGUGGUAACUUCUCUAUUAUUGUUGUUACUUGAAAUGCUUCAUUCACGAUCAAACUUACAAGAAAGUUUAUGUGAAUAUUAAGAACAUUUUUAAAUUGUUCAACAAAGGUAUUUUUCAAAAUCAUACCUUCCGCAAGGAGAUCAUGGAUGAUCACUUGCAGUUUCUGCAAUUGGAAAACAACAGACUUGUUAUCUAGCAUUUUAUAUUUCAGGAAUCUUGCAACAAAGAACUUUUUAGUUUCGGUAUCCUCAGUAUUGUACUUCCAUUCUAGCGCUCCCCACAACUCUUUUGUUGUCUUGGUUCUACUAUACACAUUGUAAAGGUCAUCUUGGAAAUCACUCAAAAUAUAGUUCCUGCAAAGGAAAUCAGAGUGUUUUCAAGCCAGCACAAUAACAAAUCGCUCUUGGUCAGAGGUUCCCUUAGGCACCUCUGUAGAUUCCUCAAAUAUGAACCUUUGAAGACAAAGAGUUGUAAGGUAGAAAAACAUUUUCUGCUACCACCUCUUGAAGUCAAUACCCGCGAAAUUUCUGGGUUUCUCCGCUGGUACCAUAGCUUGCGGAACAUUAUUCUGACUCAUUGUGGAAAUACUAGUUGCCGCCACAAUCGUUGUGGUAUCAUGCACUUGACUAUCCGUAGUCAUUUUCCUGUCACCACAAGACAAUAACUUUAGUAUAUCAAAAUACUAUUAAUAAAGUUGCAACAAUUUUAAACACCUCUUGUUUCUAGUUUAAUGAUGAAGUUUUUAUGACUUCCAAUCAUCAACCGAGUUAUCUUUAACUUAUGAUGAAGAUUUUAUGUCUUCAAAUCACUAGUUAAGUUCAAAUGGAGUAGAAAGCUUCAAGCUUUAAUCUCCAGAAACCAAGCUAUAUAGAUUUCGAGUUAUUCCUUAAGAUUGUUAUUCUCAAUGUUUUCAGGUACAAGAAUCUGUAUUUAGGCACACAACAACUUCAACCCAAGUUCAAGUCUAAAAACAAGAACACCUAUAAAGUUACACAACUCCUCCAACAUAAGAUUAUAAAUAAUAUAUCCAAGAAGUGUGUUAUAUUUUCAUAAAUGAGAUGAAACAGAAAUUUAAAGUCAAGUCCCCCAACUUCACGGAGUGUCUUUAAAGAAUAAUUUCCCUCACUAUACCCGAGGUUAUGGAAUUUUUCUCUCAGGAUAAAAUGGUUUUCAAUCCAACAAUUAUGGUACCUCAAAUUAUUGGAUUCAUCGAACUCACUCAACGGCUAAUGAUCACAAUGAGUUUUUCGUAGAAAAGAAGAGUGUUUUUGCUGUCAAAAUUGGUUCAGCAAAAAAGCACCUAUUCAGUACAAUCACAUCACCUGCGCCCAGUCUGUGCUGGACCUGCAGCCGCAGAAGUGUGUCUUUUACCUCGAAGGGUCACAUCCCUUCGAGAUGCAUUGCGUAUGCGUUUGCUUGGCAUCUGAAAUACGCCCACACAUAUUGUAAAAUAUUUGGAUUAAUUUUUCACUUGUAAAACAAGUUUCAAAUAAAAUUCGUCUAAAAUGGUAGAUCUCAUCGAUUGAUUUUUCGAAUCCGAAUCCGAAUCCGAGCGAGCGACAACGACAACGGCGUGAGGCACCACCUUAUUCUUGCCUUACUAUCCAUGUGGAGAUGUGUUUCUCAAUAUAAACACAUAAAAGCUUCUUUCUCCCACCAAUGUGGGAGAAUUUAGUAAGCUUUCCAUAAAAGAGUAUACUUCCAUUUUAGUGUCUCUCUUUCUCUCCACUAUUUUUUCCUCUAUUUUUCAUUCAUACAUACACCUUGAACUAGGGAUGUGCAAAAACCGAACCAAUCGAUAAACCGAACCGAUAAAAAUAUUAGUGAUUUAUUAUUAUUGGGUUAACGGGUUUUUAAUGGUUUUAUAAAAAAAUUUAUUGGGUUAUUGGUUUGGUUUGUUUUUUUCUUAUUGGGUUAUUGGGUAAACCGAUAACCCAAUAAGAAUAUAUAUAUAUGACUUAUUAUAUAUCUCUUAAUCUCUCUUUAAUCUCUACAAAUUAACAAACCUAUUGUUUCAAUUAUACAAACUCUUAAUUUCUCCUAACAACAUUUAGUUCAAACUUGAAGAUUUAUGUAGGAUUUUUGUUUGCUACUAAGAUUCGAUUUUUUUUCAUGUUAGUUUCUAUUAUUUCUAUUUUAUGAGUAUUUUCUUAUCGGUUAAACCAAAAAUCGAACCGUUAAGGAUUAAAAACCGAUAAACUGAAAACCGAUAAAAAAUAUCUUAUUGGUUUAGCAUAUUUAAAAAUCGAAAAUUGAUAAACCGAACCGAUAAUAUGUAAAACCGAACCGAACCAACCGAUGCACACCCCUACCUUGAACCCAACAGUGUUCCCAACAGGUGAUGAGCUUUCCCUUCAAAUGCUAGGGAUGCAUGGUACUGUUUAUUCAAAUUAUGCAGUGGAGAAUAGUGAUUUGCUGCUAGCAUUUGGAGUAAGGUUUGACGACCAUGUUGCUGGUAAAUUAGAAACUUUUGCAAGUAGAGCAAAAAUUGUUCACAUUGAUAUCGACUCAAAGGAGAUUGGAAAGAACAAGCAGACUUAUGUAUCCAUUUGUACAGAUAUUAAGUUCGCAUUAUAAUGGUUGAAUUCGAUAUUAAAUCAGAAAAAGGCAGCACUGAAGCUGAACUUUUCUCCCUGGAGAAGAGAGUUAACAGAGCAAAAAUUGAAGUACCCUUUGAAGUAUAAUUUCUUUGGUAGAGCCAUUCCUCCACAGUAUGCAAUUCAAGUCCUUGAUGAGUUAACUAAUGGAAAUGCCAUUAUAACUAGUGGUGCAGGCCAACACCAGAUGUGGUCGGCUCAAUACUAUAAGUACAAAAAGCCAAUGCAGUUGUUGGCAUCUAGUGGAUUCGGUGCAAUGGGAUUUGGAUUGCCUUCUGCAAUAGGAGCAGCUCUUGCAAGACCAGAUGUAAUUGUUGUGGACAUUGACGGAGAUGGAAGUUUUAUGAUGAAUGUGCAAGAGUUUACAACAAUUACAGUGGAUAAUCUUCCUGUUAAGAUGAUGAUUAUAAAUAAUCAACACUUAGGAAUGGCGAUCCAGUGGGAGGAUAGGUUCUGCAAGGCAAAUAGGGCAGACUCUUAUCUCGGAAAUCCUUCUAACAAGUCAAAGAUUUUUCCUAAUAUGUUGAAAUUUGCGGAGGCUUGUGAUAUAUCUGCUGCUCGAGUCACACAUGAAUGAUGUUAGAGUUGCUAUACAAAAGAUGUUAGACACCCCCGACCUUAUUUAUUGGAUGUUAUUGUAUCUCACCAGGAACAUGUUUUACCUAUGAUUCCUGAUGGAGGUAAUUUCAAGGAUAUCAUCACAGAUGGUGAUGGGAGAUCUACCUACUGAUAUUUUCCUAUCCAAAUUCAGAUUUAACAGUACAAAUUGUUAUUCGAUGAACAUGGGAUAUACUAUUAAUAAGAGAGAUGCACAGAUCAAUUAAUGAUGUUUUAUCUGUUUGGUUGAUGUUUGUCUGAUGUGGUGUGACUUUCCUAUUGUACUAUGAGUACUUGUAGUUACUAUGUGUUUGGUAGAAGUUUUACAUAAUUGUCUUCAAUUGGAACAAUAAUAAUUUUAGCUAUGUCUAAUUUUGUAUAUUCUACGUUGAUCUGUUUCCCCUUUUCUAUAUAUAUAUAUAUUUUGUUUUUUCUAGUUAGCUUAGUGCAUGUAGUACAAUUAAAUUGUCCAAGAUUCUUUUGAUUUUCUUUCAAAGGGUUGUUUGUUAGCCGUGAUUUUUUUUGGAAAAAAAAAAAAUUGGGAGUAAGAAAGGGGACAUGGAAAAAGGAAUUACCUUAUGAGAUGGGAUUUAAACACUCACUUAAAGUUUAGGUAGUCUUGCACCGAAAAAAAAAAACAAAAAGUUUAGGUAGUCUUGAUUUGUUAUAAAUGUACCAUAUACAGUGAAUGUCUAUUUUAUCAUAUAUUGUGAAUACUUAUUUUACUAUAUAUUGUGUAUGUCUAUUUAUAGAAAAGUUACAAACCCCAAGGUUAGUUUUCCUCUAUAAAUAAAGGGGUUUUCCUUCAUUGUAAUUCAUCCCUCAAUAAUCCCUCAAGAGAAAUAAUAAUUAUUCUCUCUUCUCUCUCUACUCUUCUUCUUUAUUAGUUUAUAACACGUUAUCAGCACGAGACUCUGCCGUCUCAAAUUUGAAGGCUAAGGUAUUAUUUUAUUUCUUUUCAUAUGAUUAAUAAUCAUACAAAACUUGAGUUCGUUGCCUCAAGCAAGAACUACCUCUCAUGGUUAUUGGAUGUUGAAAUCCACUUAGAUGCUAUGGGUUUUGAAGACGCCAUAAAGAAAGAAAAUACAGCAUCUAACCAAAAUCGUGCUAAGGCUAUGAUUUUCUUGCGUCAUCAUCUUGACGAAAUUCUGAAAAUUGAAUACCUUACUACUAAGGAUCCACUUGUUUUGUGGAAUAUCCUAAAAGAAAUAUUUGAUCACUUGAAGAUGGUCAUCCUUCCAAAAGCACGAUAUGAAUGCAUACACUAUGAAAAUAAGACGUUUGGUUCAAACCCCAUCGAUUUAUAGCCUACGGUGUCUUUACAUGGAUAAGACAUUGAGUUUGAAUAUCAAUGCACCACAUUGAUGAUAUUAUGAUGGUUAAAGUAAAAUAAUGAGUUUGAUGAAAAGUCAUGAGACAUGUCCCAUUGAUUAUGCUUCAUUCUCUAAUGUGGAUGUGGUAGCAGUAUAUAAUAUGUCUGAAAGAAGAUAAGUGAUUGAAUGUACGAAUACAAGCGUGAAGGAACAAUAUGAUGAUAAUCAUCAAAAGUGAUAAUAUUCUUACACACUUAUUAUGACUAUAAGAUAUGUCAGAGAAAAAAUCUCUACAUUAUGGACACCUCGAUUUGCUCCUGAGGUAGCAAUAUCAUAAAAAAAGUUAUAAGCUAUUAAUUUGAUAGGCUUAAGGCACGAUUAUAUUUCAUUUAUGGGAAUAACAUUUUUAAUUGUUAUAAGCAUAGAUCCAUUCCUUGGGGUGAAUGUGAUGAUAUUUAGUAAAGCUUAUCAAUACAAAUAUGCACUUGAUUGUGGUGGUAUCACAAUUCGCCUCCAAAAGAGGUAGAAUAAUUGAGAGGAGUUAUUCUGAAAUCUACCUUCCAAGUAGUAAAUUUGAAACCUAUUCAUAUCAGAGUAAAUCUGAAAUUUACGAAAGAAAAAAGUACAUAUCAUGGUAAACUCGAAGUUUACUAGUAUAAAAGUUCAUAAGUUGGCAUGAACGAUUGUGAUAUUCCAAAGAUAUGCAUAUUAAGUAGUAAAUACAUAUUGAAGAAUUCGAAAAUUCUUCAUGAGCUUUUAAUGUUACGUGUUCUCAUGAUAAGUUGGUUGGACCAACUAAUGUUGGGGUUAGAUUUUCUAAAUUUUGAAAAGUAUAAAAGGUGAAUAUGGUCCCGUUCACCCAUCAUGUGAUUUGUUAAGAUGCAUCGAUAUAAGAUGAUCACUUGUACGUUUAUUGUCAACCUGCAGUUUGACAUUCAUAAAGUUGAUUGCACAAUGAAAUUGAGUGAAGAGCAUAACUUUUAGAUUGUGUAAUUAAGAUAAUUCAUCUUGAUAGUGAUGGUUUAGCAUCGAAUGCCUUCAAUAAAUAGUUAAACCAUUGCUAAUGAGAACAAAAGUUUCAUGUGUUGGUUUGAAAUAUUAUAUAAAAAAUACUUGUAUACAUUAAACUAAUAAAUUAUGAUUAAUUUUCCCUCAAAGUUGGUUCUAAGUCAGGAAUCACACGUUGUCCAUCUAAUACUUUUGAUGUGCGGUAUACGAUUAAUGAAUAUACCAUGAUGCACAAAGAUGAAUUCCUCAAAGAAGAUGAAGGAUGUAUGUUAGUUUUCCUAACAUAAGGGGGAGAUUAUAAGCAACUAUGAAAUAUGUUAGGAAUUAUCAUCAGAUCCUCAUUCAAAAGAUAAUUCAAGUCAAAUGCCGUACACAUCUCAUAUUUAAGCUGCAAGUGCUCCUAUUUUUUGUUCAUAAAUGACAAAUUCUAUGCAUGCGUGAAGCAUGGUAGAUCAAUCGGUUCCAAAUAAAAUAAUCCUUGAAAAUGAUAAGGAGAAAAUAAUCAUAUUAAGAAGGCAAUGUGCUCUUGAAGAGCCUACGACAUAACACUUCAUGAAACCUUAUAAGAGGUUCAGGUACCUGAAAAUAAUAAAGUGAUGAGAUCUCAAAAUAUUAUGUCACACUGUGAACCGAUAUAUCAUCAAUAUCUUUGAUACAAUAUUGGCGCAAUAUUAUAUUGUAUAAGAUUAUGAGGAUCUAAAUUCUACGUUUAUUUAAGCAUGCUGACUUAGAAAUAUUUAUCAAUUAACAUGAAAUGAUGAAUCUUGGUAAGAUAAAACUUAUUUGAUUUGCAGUCCAGAUGCUUGAAGAUGUCGCCCAUGAAAUGUUGAAUUUCAUCACUUGACAAAAUUUAUAUGAAAACUUUUAAGGAUUAAAAAUGUUUGAAGCAUAUAAAAGUUUUUGGGAAACUUAUUUAUAAUCCUUAUAUUGUAUGGGCUUAUAGCUUGAAAAUUAUUGAAACUCUUGGAGAGUUCUCAAAAGCAAUAGAUUAUUUGCUGAAAUAAGAAAUAUACCAAAUUGGAUUGGUUAAAUAUCUUAGUGCAAUUGGUGUACUAAUGUAUCUUGUAAAAUACUACAAGAACGAAUAUAACCUUUCACUCAAUUUGUUAGCAAGGAAUAGUUCUACUCUUAUGAGGAGACAUCGAAAUAAGAUUAAACAUAUGAGCUUAUUUAUUUUAAAGAUUGUAGUCCCAAUCUUGUUGGUUAUGCUGAUGUUGGGUACUUAUUUGACCCGUAUAAAGCUCGAUCUCAAAUAAUUUAUAUAUUCACAUAUGGGAAUACUGUCAUAUCUUGGAGAUAUACAAAGCAGUCUAUCUAGCCACUUUAUCAAACCAUGAUGAGAUAAUAGCUAUUCAUGAAGCAAGCCGAGAAUAAGUAUAGUUGAGAUCCAUGAUAUAUCUCAUUCGAGAAAAAUGUGGCAUAAAAUAUGACAAUGUACCUAUAAUUUUAUACGAAAAUAAUGCAACAUGCAUAACACAUCUUAAUGGAGAAUUCAUAAAAGGAGAUAGAAUGAAGCAUAUUUCAUCAAAGUUUUUCCACAUAUAUGAGCUCCAAAAGAGUAGUGAUAUUAACGUGCAACGGAUUCGUUCAAGUAACAAUGUGGCUGAUUUAUUCACUAAGUCUCCCUCAAUUGCAACUUUCAAGAAUAUGGUGUACAAGAUCAGGAUGCAAAGGCUCAAAGAUAUUCUCAUUAGAGGGAGUUAAUACGCGUUGUACUCUUUUUCCCUUACGAGGUUUUGUCCUACUGGAUUUUCCUUGUAAUAUUUUUAAUGAGGCAGCCUAUAUGCGUAUUAUUACAUAUGUGUACUCUUUUUCCUUCACUAGAUGUUUUUCAGUGGAUUUUUUUUCUAGUAAGGUUUUAACGAGUAAUAUUAUUUAUCAAUUAGACAUUUAAGGAGGAUUUUUAUAAAUGUACCAUAUAUAGUGAAUGUCUACUUUACCAUAUAUAGUGAAUACCUACUUUACCAUAUAUUGUGUAUGUCUAUUUAUGGAAAAGUUACAAACUCCAAGGUUAGUUUUCCCCUAUUAAUAAAGGGGUUUUCCUUCAUUGUAAUUCAUCCCUCAAUAAUCCCUUAACAGAAAUAAUAAUUACUCUCUCUUCUCUCUCUACGCUUAGUCUGUAUUCUUUAUUAGUUUAUAACAUAAUUAAAUUUCUUUGCAUUUGUUGUCAAAUGUCAUUUCUAUGUUUUAGGCAUUGGAUCGGAUUGGUUAAUUUUUUACUUUCUCCUUUAAAGUUAUUGUAAUGCCCCGAUUUGCUGAACCAGAUGCUACACGGUACUUAUGACCCUGGGGGACCACAAGCUAACCCAUGACUGAUAUUUGUACCUAUACACUGCAUAAUAUACUUAUAGAAUGCGGAAAACAUGAAUAAUAGGCCAUAAGGUUUAACUGAAUAGAAUAUCGGAUAAAUAAUAGCAUCCAUAUAGGGUAACAAAUACCCAAGACAACUGAAAGUUGAAUCUAAAAUUUGAAAGCCUCUAAAUACUAUCUGAAAUAAGGAGUUGAAGGAACAUGUCUCCAACUAAGUUUGUCUAGUAAAUCUGAAAUGAAAUAAUAAAUGAAAUAAAAUAAUAUCAUUCUCGAAUGGAUGAGGACUCACUGCAACUCUGCAAUUGAAUGCUACUGCUGAUCUGGAACUCGUGUCUCUGAACCUAUGGUGUAAGAUGGAAGAAAGCACCAUAGCGCAAAUGCGUUAGUACGACUGGGAGUACUGAGUAUACGAGUGAGGUAGGCUAAAUGCAAAAGGGUUUACAUGCAUGAAAAAUGCUAGCUAACUGACUGACUGAUAUGAACAUGAGAGUACAAACAUGCAUACAUAAUAACUAAAAUCGUGAAUACAUAAUAACUGGAUCUGUACGCUAAUACAUGGUUUACUAUAAUCUAACAUGACUAAUACUGAAAUUUUGAUAACAUAGAUGACUGUGUCUAACAGUCCUGAAUCUGAUGGAACUACCUGAGCUCCAUAUUGUAAUUGAAUUAACUGUAACUGAAAGUCCUGGUACAUUAAAAUCUGAAGAACUAUCUAAUUUCUUUUACUGAGACUGGGACUGAAACUAUGGGAGGUAGUUGCUUAACCGACAUGCCCUAAUAAUACAUAUAGCUAGGUUGGGGUCCAAUCUCUACCUUGACUAGAAGGGUGUUAAUACCGCGCCUUUGUAAGGAUAGCUGUAAGUGACCCUUAGCCGGAAGGUACUCGAAUGAGAAUGGUGGGAACCUUAAAAUGAUAGGUUAAGCCACCUCAUCAACCCUAAUCUGAUAGGUUAAGAUGUCUCAACUACGAUGGCUACAUAGUUUUGGAACACAAGGAUGACUACUAAGAAUCACACCCUAAACUGGAAGGUGAGUUCCCAUCCUUGGGUUUACUCGGUGCUAACUUCUACUCUCAUCUGAAGAGACUGCAAGACAUACACUACUGGAACAUGAUCUCAUGACAGACAUGACUGAUAUAAUAAACCUAUCAUGUUAGACAUGCAUAUCUGAUGUAUGAGUAACUAAUUCAUGAAUACAUAACUGAAAUUGAGUUCUCCCAAUGAGAAUGCAUAUUUGAUGAAUGAUUAUACACUAGACUGAUACAUAAAUGCAAGACUGAAUAUGUAAUGGUACUUGAUACCAAAUUUAUGAUAAAACGUGAGCAUGAACUGAAUACCAAGUUAUAUAGAAUACUAAACAGGAAACUGAAUAAGCUUAAGGAAAACUGUUACCUUGAGCUUGAUCUGGAUUGGCGGUGAAGAGGUGAGGAUACUUGGUAUGUAUGUCUGCUUCUGCUUCCCAAGUAGCUCCCUCAACGAACUGAUUUCGCCAAAGAACUUUGACUAGAGGGACUUCUUUGUUCCUCAGUCUACGAGUCUAAUAGUCUGAUUGUCAAUGCUCUGAAUAGGGACUACGACUGAUGGAUCACCUAUACACUUCUUGAGCAAAGAGACAUGAAAGACCGGAUGAACUGAGGCUAGAUCUAAAGGCAAUUCGAGCUCAUAAGCUACCUUAUCUAAGCGACUGAGAAUCUUAAAGGGAUCAACAUAUCGAGGAAUGAGCUUUCCCUUCUUACCGAACCGCUUCACUCCCUUCAUGGGAGAGAUCUUUCGAUAGACAUAGUCAUCGACCUCGAACUCGAGAUCCUUUCUACGAAUGUCAGCAUACAACUUCUGUCGGCUCUAACCAGCCCGGAGUCUUUCUCUGAUUAACUGGACUUUCUCUAAGGCGUUGAAUACUAAGUCAGGCCAUAUGACUGAGGCCUCACUAACUUCGAACCACCCAAUUGGAGAUCUAUACCUCCUAUCAUAGAGUACUUCAAACGGAGCCAUUUUAAUACUGGAAUGAUAGCUAUUAUUAUAUGCAAAUGCAAUCAAAGGCAAGUAAUCAUCCCAACUUUCCCUUGAAAUAAAUUGCAUACGCCCUUAGUAUAUCUUCAAGAGACUAAAUUGUCCUUUCUGCUUGACCAUCUGUCUGAGGAUGAAAAGCUGUACUAAGAUGAACUUGGGUACCAAGACCCUUUUAGAAUGAUUUCCAAAAGUGAGAGGUGAACUGGGUACCUCUGUUUGAGAUGAUAGAUAAUGGAACACCGUGUAAUCUGACUAACUCCCUGAUAUAGAGUUUUGUGUAAUCCUCGAUUGAAUAAGAGGUAUGGACUGGAAGGAAAUGGGCUGAUUUGGUCAUUCUAUCUAUAAUGACCCAAAUUGAAUCAUGCUGAUGACGAGUUCAAGGAAAACCCAUCAUGAAGUCCAUGUUCACUUAUUCCCACUUCUAAGUAGGAAUGGUGAACUCCUGUAUGGAACCACUACGUUUCUGAUGCUCUAUCUAAACCUACUGACAUAUAGAGCACUUAGCCACAAAUUCUGCAAUAUCUCUCUUCAUCCCACUCCACUAAUAUAUUUCCUGUAGGUCGUGAUACAUUUUAGUGGCCCCUGGAUGAAUAGAGUAUCGUGCACCAUGCACUUCUACAAGAAUUCGCUACUUUAAAUCAUCUACACCUGGAACACAUAGAUGAACCUGACAACGAAUGACCCUAUCUCCCCCUUGGGAGAAAACCUCUACUUUCUGAUUCUGAACUGACUCUUUUAGCUUGACAAGGUUGGAUCCCUGUCUUGAUUUUCUUUCACCUCGAAAACUAGAGAUGACUCUAAACUAUCCUGAACACAUACACCACCCUCUGAAGAAUCGACUAAGUGAACACCUAUUCUGGCAAGCUGAUGGAUUUCCUGAGCUAUUUUCUUCUUGCUAUCCUCAACGUGAGAAACACUACCCAUGGAUAUUCUACUAAGAGCAUCAGCCAUAACGUUGUCCUUGCCCAGAUAAUAAAGCACACUCAUGUCACAAUCUUUCAAGAGCUCUAACCACCUUCUCUGACAAAGAUUGAGAUCUUUCUGAGAAAAGACAUAUUGGAGACUCUUAUGAUCUGUGAAGACAUCUAUAUGAACUCCGUAUAGAUAAUGCCUCCAAAUCUUUAAGGCAAAUACUUCAGCUGCUAAUUGAAGAUCAUGAGUAGGAUAAUUCUUCUUAUGGGGAUUUAACUGCCUGGAGGCGUAGGCUAUGACCUUACCAUGCUGUAUGAGGAUACAACCCAAACCUACUCUGGAUGUAUCACAGUAUACUACAAACCCAUCUGAACCAUCUGGAAGAGCUAAUACUGGAGUUGAGGUGAGUCGAGUCUUUUAUUUCUAAAAACUCUUCUAGCAAGGAUCUGACCACUGAAACGUGACCUUCCUCUGAGUCAAUCUGGACAUAGAAAAUGCAAUAGAAAAAAUCCCUCAACAAACUACCUGUAAUAGCUAGCCAAACCCAAGAAACUCCUGAUACCUGAUGGAGAGACAAGGCGAGGCCAGUUUCUUACCACUUUGGUUUUCUGAGAAUAUACUCUAAUGCCAUCACCGAAAAUAAUAUGUCCAAGUAAUGCUACUGACCUUAGCCAAAAUUUGCACUUACUGAAUUUGGCGUAUAGCUGGUGAUCUCUAAGAUUCUGAAGAAUAAUUCUGAGAUGGUUUGAAUGAUCAUGCUCUUGUGGGAAUAGACCAGGAUAUCAUCUAUGAAGACUAUGACGAACAUGUCCAAGUACUGCUUGAACACAUGAUUCAUCAAGUCCAUGAAAGUGGCUGUGGCAUUGGUAAGACCAAAGGACAUAACUAGAAAUUCAAAGUGACCAUACCGAGUAUGGAAAGCUGUCUUGAGGAUGUCACAUUCUCUAAAUCUGAGCUGAUGAUAGCCUGAUCUGAGGUCUAUCUUGUAGAACUGGCAUCCUGAAAUUGGUCAAACAAGUCAUCUAUUCUAGAAAGACGCUACUUGUUCUUGACCGUAACUUUGUUGAGCUGACGGUAAUCAAUACACAUCCUGAGAGAACUAUCUUUAUUGCGCAUGAAUAAGACUAGUGCGCCCCAUGGGGAAAUACUGGGUCUAAAAAUCCCUUAUCUAAUCGAUCCUUCAACUGAUCCUUCAGUUCUUUGAGUUCUGAUGGUGCCAUUCUAUAUGGCAGAAUAGAAAUAGGCUGAGUAUCUGGAAUAAGGUCAAUGUCGAAGUCUAUUUUUUGGGGGGAGGAAUGCCUGGAAGAUCUUUGGGAAAUACAUCUGAAUAUUCGUUAACCACUGGGAUUGAUUCAAAGUUAGGAGAUUAGGAACUAGAGUCUUUAACACGAACAAGAUGAUAAACACAUCCCUUAGAAAUCAUUUUCCCUGCCCGAAGGUAGGAAACAAGCUGACCCCUAAAAGAUAAAGUACUACCCUACCACUCUAGGACGGGCUCAUUCGGGAACUGAAAUUGAUCUAUCCUGUUUCUGCAGUCGACUGUGGCAUAGCAGGAAUAAAGCCGAUCCAUGCCGAGAAUGACAUCAAAAUCAGUCAUCUCUAACUUAACUAAAUUUGUAACGUGGAUCUCUGAAAUAUCAUAAUCGAUAGUUCCUGUAUACCCACCGAUCUAUGAUAGUUUUACCCAUUGGGGUAGAGACUGAAAACGGCUCUACUAAAAUUUUGGGACUGAUUCCAAAAUCACCUGCUAUAUAAGGAGUAACAAAAGACAAGGAUGCACCUGGAUCUAGCAAAGUGUAAACAUAAACAUGAAAAAUCUGUAAUGUACCAGUAACUACAUCGGGAGAAUUUUCCUGAUCCUAUCGGGUCUGAAGAGCAUAGAGUCUGUUUGGGCGUUGCCCACUAGCAGCACUGGAAGUGGUACCCUACUGAUUUGGGCCAUCGGACUGUGCUGUGGAAUGAUUCUACUGACCCUAUAGACCUGACUGCGAACACUCUCUAAUCUUGUGUCCUGGCUUGCCACCACCAAAACAAAUAUCGCUACCAGCUCUACAGGUACCCUUGUGGUUCUUACCAUAAGUCUGACACAGGGGAUUAGUUCGGACACUGCUGAUACUGCCCUGAGACUUAGAGCCUAGUGCUCGAUCUCUGUCGCCAUCUCUGAAUUUUGGCACUGGGGUAUUGGCAGAGAAAGGAGCUGGAACUGCUGGCUUAGGAUGAAACUACAAACGGUUUCCUCCUUCUGAUUUGGGUUGAGCAAAACUGAAACUGCCUGAUCUUGCUCUCUUGUUCUGCCUCUCCCUAGUCCUAAUCUUCUGCUCCUCUAUUUGUUGAGCAUGGUUCAUGAGCCUGGCUAAAGUCAUAUCGUUGUUCAGUAUCGCAGACUUAUACUCAUUUACCACGCUAUCAUUCACUUCUGACACGAACUUGCUCAUUUAGGCCUGUUGUCUGCAACCACACGAGGGGCAUAUCUGGAUAGCUGAGUAAAUAUAAGAGAAUACUCUUUAACUGUCAUAUUUCCCUGCCUGAGGUUGAUGAACUCAAGAACUUUUUCCUUCCUCGACUCUUGGGGAAAGAAUCUGUCUAAGAAAGCCAUGAUAAAUUCCUUCCACGCUAUAGGACCUGUACUAUUUACCCUCUCAAACUUCCACUAUUUGUACCAAGUGUGACCAAUAUCCUGUAACUGGUAUGUAACGGCUAACUCAGCACUCUGACCCAUAGAAAGAUGGAGGGUUUAUUUGGGUGAAGUCCCGAAUCCUAGAUACGGCUGAGUUGGACACUAGAUUGGCUGAAAUAAAUGGUGGCCAUUCAUUUUGGGUAGCCACAGAUUGAGCAAAUAUGGUGAAUGUGACCCUAAACUCCGCAUGAGAAACAUGUUCGCCUAAAGGAUCUUCGGACUAAGGAGCGGGCUGGUAUAUUCUGAAAUAAGAGAAGAACGAAUUAGACAGAGAGUUUAACUUGAGAUUUUAGUCACUAGCACGACAAGAAUACUAAAAGAGGGGAAACUGUUCCUGAAAUAUCUCAUAGCCUCUUGCACAUAAAUGUGGCGCGCAACACACCCAUGCACAAGACUCUACUAGAUGCAGCUUUCAGACUUCCUAGGACUCUAUUGAACCUUAGGCUCUGAUACCAAGUUUAUAAUGCUCCAAUUUUCUGAAUCGGAAUACUACAUGGUUCUUAUGAACCCCGGGGGACCACAACUAACUUAUGACUGAUAUCUGUACCUGUACACUGCAUAAUAUACUUGUAGAAUACUAAAAUCAUGAAUAAUAGGCCAAAAGGUUCAACUGAAUAGAAUAUUCGAUAAAUAAUAACAUCCAUAUUGGGUAACAAAUAUCCAAAACAACUGAAAGCUAAAUCUAAAAUUUGAACUAAAUCUGAAAGACUCAAAAUACUGUCUGAAAUAAGGAGUUGAAGGAACAUGUCUCCAACUAACUCCGUCUACCUAAACUGAACUAAAAUAAUGAAUGAAAUAAAAUAAUAUCAUCCUUGAAUGGAUGAGGAAUCACUGCAACUCUGCGACUGGAAUGCUACUGUUGAUCUGGAACUCGUGUCUUUGAACCUAUGGUGUAACAUGAAAGAAAGCACCAUAGCGCAAAUACGUCAGUACGACUGGGAGUAUUGAGUAUACAAGUGAGGUAGGCUAAAUGCAAAAGGGUUUACAUGCAUGAACAAUGCUAACUGACAGACUGAUAUGAACGUAAGAGUACAAACAUGAUACAUAGUAACUAAAAUCGUGAAUACAUGAUAUCUAGAUCUAUACGCCAAUACAUGGUUUACUGUUAUCUAACAUGACUGAUACUGAAAUUUUGAUAACAUGGAUGACUAUGUCUGACAGUCCUGAAUCUGAUGGAACUACUUGAGUUUCGUACUGUAACUGAAUUGACUGUAACUGAUAGUCCUGGUAUACUGAAAUAUGGAGAACUAUCUGAGUUCUUUUACUGAGACUGGGAAUGAAACUGUGGGAGGUAGUUACUUAAUCGACAUGCCCUAAUAACGCAUAUAGCUAGGUUGGGGUCCAAUCUCUGCCCCGACUGGAAGGGUAUCAAUACCGCGCUACUAUAAGGACAACUAUAAGUGACCCUUAGUUAGCAGGUACUCGAAUGAUAAUGGUGAGAACCCUAAACUGAUAGGUUAAUCCACCUCAUCAACCCUAAUCUGACAGGUUAAUAUGUCUAAACCUACGCUGGCUACGUAGUUCUGAAACACAAGAAUGACUACUAAGAAUCACACCCUAAACUGGCAGGUGAGUUCCCAUCCUUGGGUUCACUCGGUGCUAACUUCUACUCCCAUAUGAAGAGACUGAACAUGAUUUAACUAGCUAUACAUGGAGUGAGUAACUUACUUCCAUUGACUAAUGAAAUAGUACUACUAUCUGAGAAUUUAUUGAGAUCAUGAGAUUUUUGAGAUUUCCUAAGUAACAUGACUUACUGAGUUCUAUAGAUCAUGGCUUGACUGAGAUUAUCGUGAUAACGUGACAUGGCUCUAGGCACACAACUAUAUUUUUUAGGUACUAGUACCCCCAGGACUUGAUGGAAGGAAACUGACACACAUAACUGACUUGAUCAUAAAAUAGAGUCCACAAUUCACCAUAUCAUAAGUAGGGGAUUUCACACUAAGAAUAGUUCUCAACAUCUUACGUAUGGAAGGUAAAUUCACACAACAUGUGUAUACUUGCAUAUCUUCAAUAUCAGGCUCAAUCCAUAUCACAACAACGAUGCAUAUCAAUCACGUGGAAUUCAUGUAAAAAUCAUAAAGCAUAGAGCAUGGACUUGUCAUUUAAGCACUAUUAAAUCUGGGACAUGAAUUCUAUCAUCCUAGGCCUUUUAUCAAACACUUUGCAUGCAUUCUGUUAGCUUAGGUGAGUUUUCAUGAAUUUUCCCAUUAAACCACAUAAAGUUCAUGGAUUUCAACUAAGGAACACAUAUACUUCAUAAAAACACCUUUAGAUAUCAUCUUGAAACUUAAACAACAAUCAUCAACAUGUACAUGGUCAUAUCACAACAAGACAAUCACAAUAUAAUAUUUAAAACAUGGUUCUUGAGCUCUAUGAACGAAAUAGAUCCAUAGAUGAACACUACUCAUACCUUAGAUGGAAGAUUCUUGAUGAUUGAUGGAGAAAUUUGCUUGAACUUGAAAACCCUAAUGUGUUCUUGAGGGGAUUUUGAGAGAAAGAGUAUGUUUUGGUGAAAUAAGGUCUUAUUUUGUGUUUAUGGAAUAUAUAUAGGGGUGGAAAUAUGACCCAAAUACCCUUUUAGAUGUGUCAUUUAAUUUCUGUGAAAAUUACCUGAUUUGGGCCCCCAACACGACGCAGAGAUAUCGCGUUGCCCCCUGUUUGUAACCUGGAAACUCACCACGAUGUGGUGGAAUCGUGGAGAGACACUGAAAAUUGACAAACUUCAUUUUGGCUUACGGCGCGAUGCGCCACUGACUGAAAUAACGCUGCUGAAACUUUAAAUCGCCAUAACUUCUUCAUCGGGUGUCCGUUUUAGGCGAAUUUGGUAUCGAAGGAAAGAUUAUUCAAUUCUUUACAAUUUAGAUGGUAUAAAUCUGUCAAAAUACCACCUAUAAAACAAGUUAUUAUCAUUUAAUGAUGAAUGAUGUGAAAUCACACACGAAAACUUGGUGGAUUCAAAAGUUCUUAGCUUGACUUACUCUAAGUGACUCUUAUAAACAUGCGUAACACAUCAUAAGCUCUUUUAUCACUAGAAUACUCAUCCUAAUUCAUGUACUCUAAUAUGAAUCACAGGAUAGGAGCUUUCAUGUGUAAGAACAAUGGUUCAUUUUCUAGCUUAGAAAUAUACGGGGUAUUACAGUUAUUUGUAAGAACAUACAUGCAUUUUUCUUUACAAAAAUAAAUAUUAUUUUAUUUGUUUUGUUUCUUAAUAAAUAAUAUUCCUUCCAUUCCAUUUUGAGUUUAAGUUCUAUGCACCAUCAGUGCACAAAAUAUUCUACACUAUCAGUUAACUUGACCUGCUAUUGCAGGUUGUCCAAUUCUUUAUAUAAAAAUUAAAAAAUAAAAAGUUAGGUAACCUCCAAUAGCAAGUCAAUUUUACCUGAUAGUGUAGAAUAUUUUGUACACUGACGGUGCACAAAACUUAAAUUCUUCCAUUUUAUGUAUGGUCAUUUUCUUUUAUUCAUCCCAAAAAAGAAAGUCAUCUUUCUUUAUUUGGUAAAUAUUUAAAGACACAAUUUUACUUUUAUCCUUAUUGGCCUCACUUAAUAAAAGAUAGCAGUAAUACAUUUUUAAUAAAGAAUAAUUUGGCGAAACUCACCAACUCUUUUCUUAUUUCUUAAACUCCAUGAUCGGUCAAACUAUGACACAUAAAAUGAAAUGGAGCGAGUAGUAUUUUAGAGAUUUAGAUUUCAAUUUAUUCAAUAAUAACAUAAUUUUUUCUUAUUUUGGUGUUUUCUAUUUUCUAACUAAUAAUAAGAGGAUAUAAGCAGGCACGUCUUGCCUGCUUGUGUUGUCUGCUUCAGCUACUUCAAUCAUAAUUUUACUAUAUUAUUCCUAAUUAAUUAGUAUAAGUCAUUUAAGUAUUAAAAAAUUAAUAAUAUUUAAUUAAAAAUAUAAAGUAAAAAUAAAAUAAUAAAUUAACUCUUGAUGUUUUGUGUUACCUCCUUCAGCUGCUUCAAUCGUAAUUUUACUAUAUCACGCCUAAUUAAUUAUUAUAAAUUAUUUAAGUAUUAAAAAUAAAUAAUAUUUAAAUAAAAAAGAUUGGACAUAAAACGAUAAAUUAACUCUUGAUGUUUUAAAUUAAUUUGUUGUCUUAUAUGAAACCCAUUUAAAAAAAUUUCACAACUAUUUUUUAAAAUAAUUUUGUUUUAUCACUUCUAAUUAGUUGUCAUAAGUUAAAGGCAUGCCUUCUUCGUUGUUUCAAUUGUGAUUUUAUUAUAUCACCCUAAUUAACUUUUAUGGUCAUCUAAGCAUUAAAAAAUUAAUAACAUUUCAUAAAAAAGAUAAAAUACACACAAAAUGAUAUGUCUAACUUAAAAUAUUUGUUUGACUAUCAAAAUUUAUAUUAGUGCCACAAAAAUUACGAUGCGACAGAGAAAGACAUAAAGUCACAUAUAUUAUUUAAAAAUAAAAAAAAACACGUAAACUAGGACUGAGAGAGUAUUAAUAUCUUACUGGAAAAUUCUGCUAAAAGUAUAAUAAAUCACAAUAAUUAAAAAAUCAAAUUAUUUUAAUGAUUGAUUAUCUAAAAUUAUAUUUGUGUCACAUAAAUUAAGAUAAAAAAAUAAGGGAAAAGGACAAAAACGACACUUCAAAUUAAACUAUUUCUACGCAAAUAACCAUGGAAUUUAAAUUCCACUUUUUAGCCAUUUUAAUUUGUUGACUUGUUCUAUACCAUUUCUAAACACCUUCUAUACAGUUUCUAUACAUAUCUUAUACAAGUCCGUUGCAUUUUGCACCCUAAUAUGUGUUCAGUUUUUGUAAAUUGCACCAUAUUCUAUUUUUUUAAUGAUUUACACCUAAUCUCUUUAUUUCUUUACAAAAUAAUAAAAUCACCAUUUUCAUAAGUUUUUCAUGAGGAUAAAAUAGGAAUAACAAUAAUAAUGAUUUUAUAUUUAAAGAAAGUUGAAACAUAUCUUUCGUUAAUUUAAUAUUAAUAAACAAAAUAAUGAAUUAAGUGCAUAUUAAAGAAGGGCAAUUGAAGUCUAGCACAAGUUCAAAACACAAAAAUAUAGGUUGUUGCAUUUUUAUUAUAAUUUCUACGAUAUAGAAGAGGCAGUGGAGGAACGACCAAGGGUAUAUCUGUCAAUUCACGCCAAUAACAUCAUUCUAGAAGGCAAAAGCACUUUACUAUUCUUUUGUUCAAACGACAGAUGCCAUUUGCUUUUCCUUACAAUCCUUUAGUUCUCUUCAUCUUCUUAUGCAAUUGUAGGUAAGUUUUCUCUCAUUUUGCUUUAAUUUUCUCUCAGUUCUUUUUAAAUUGCUCAACAUAUAUAUAAAAGGGUAGAGUUUCAAAAAGUGUGAUAAGAAUGAAUAAAGAGACUAUUGAUGUACCUCUGUUCUUUGGUGGAUUUUCUUCUUCUUUUAUUAUAUUUCUAUGUUUCACAUUUGAUUUCAUUAUAGAACUUUAUUUGUUGCUUAAGACUCCAAAAGUUUAAUUUAUGGCAUGCAUCCAAUGUAUUUGAUGAGAUGCCCACUUUCGAUUUUCUCUUGAUGAAAUUAAAAAUUCAGUUUCGUGGUUUAUGUGUAAUUACCAUAAGAUGUCAUCGCUCCUGAUUUUGGAGUUCUCAAUAAAAUGGUAUCACAUUCUAUGGUGACACUAGAAGAUGGAAAUAUUACAUCUGGUUAAUGAUUCUUUCAAUCUUUUAGGGAACUUUUGUGUUUAUGCGAAGAGGGUUAAUACUUUAUUUUCGCAAACAAAGGUUACAGAACUGCCUAUGAUUUUUUCUUUCACAGAGAAACUCAUGAUUGUUCUAUUGAAAAUACAGAUAAAUCUAUGAAGUUAUAGCUAGAAACUAACUGUAGUUUCUAUUAUAGAUACUGCACAGAGAUUGUUGAAAAUGAAUUUUACUUGGGUAAGCAACUGUGUGUGUUCAAUAAAACUACUCUAUUGAUUGAAUAGUCUCAUAUUUUGUUUAUGAAUUGUUUCUAAGUAAUUGCAAGCUUUAAUAUUUUAUACAUACAUUUUUCUACUAUAUAAGAAGUGUGAGUAAGAAUUGGAGGAUCGACAUGGUCGCUAUUUGUCAUUUAAAUUCUUUUCAAGGUUACAUUUGUCAUUUUGAUUCAUUCGGUCUUCCACUUGGUGUACAUGUACACCAGCUAAAAAGAGGUGCUUUUUUCAUCUAAAAUGUGCAUAUAUGUGCUUAGCUUUCAAAUAAACGGCCCCUAUGAGGAGAAUUUAACGGUCAUAUCAGGAAUAUUUAUUUCGAUAAAGAGCAAAGGAAAGUAGAAAAUAUUUGAUUUGUUAGUGUUGAUCCUUUUCUACAAGUGAAUUAUGACUAAAAUUUAGAAAACUGCGAGGUGGUUCCCUGGAGGAGGAAAAAAGAGUGUAUUUUUCCAUGAUAUACACGUGGGCAUUUGCAAAACAUCUAUACCUCAAGUGUUUAGUUGUAGUUUGAUACGACUAUGGCUAAAUCUUGUGAUUUAGACAAGAAUUUAUCAAAGUUACAAAGGCUUAUUUAGUUGGUACACAUAUUAAUAAUUUAAUAGUAAAUAUCUUCUGAUAGACGAUAUGCUUAGCAUGAAUCCUUACUUGAUUUUUAUCAUGAGAAUGGUGUCGUAGUCUGAUACACUAAUCACACCUUAUCUUAGUUUCUUAGUGUUGAACCCUUUACAAUGCUCUAUACAAAGAAAUUUCUCCUGAACUGAAGUUUUUUUGUCCAUCCAUCUAUAAUUGCUUUUCUGUUUUAUUUUCCAUGACUUUCUAUCUGCAGAGCUUGAGAAACACAUUCCUGAUAUCCAUGUGUUGAUUUCAACCCUUUCUCAUUCUACCUAUGUCAUGGCUGAAAGAAUCAAGAAGGCAAAAAAUUUACGACUUCUGCUGACCGCUGGAAUUGGAUAGAUCAUGUUGAUCUGAAAGUUGUUGUUGUUGCUGGAUUGACAGUAGCAGAGGUCACUGGAAGCAAUACUGUCUCAAUUACGGAAGAUGAACUGAUGCAAAUCUUAAUUCUUGUUCUAAAUUUUCUUCCUGGACAGCAUCAGGUUAUCAAUGGGGGCUAGAAUGUUGCUGGCAUUGCUCACAGAGCUUAUGAUUUGGAAGGAAAAAUUGUUGGAACUGUUGGUGCAGGACGUAUUGGCAGACUUUUACUCCAACGAUUGAAGCUAUUUAACUGUAACUUUUAUCUACUUUGCCAUGAUCGACUUAAGAUGGAUCCAGAGCUGGAAAGUCAAAUCGGAGCAAAGUUUGAGGAAGAACUUGAUAAUAUGCUCUCAAAAUAUGACAUAGUGUUCAUCAAUAUACCUCUUACAGAGAAAACAAAGUAAGGUUUUUGUUUCUCUAAUUACAUGUCGUAAACCUAUACAACAAAAAUUAUUGUCAAAACUUCUUAUAUUCAAAUUAUUUUAAGAAUGAAUUAAUGAGGAGAUGGAAUAAGCAAGAUAAGGUGAAUAUUCAUUGAGAAUUAAUUAAAUAUUAAGUGAAGGAGAAUUUUAGGACUCACUCUUUAGUGUCAUCGUAAAUUUUUUUAGACCACUCUAGAUCAUAUACACCGUAGUUGUAUAUAUAGAUUCCCCUAUUCUAUUCCCUAAGUUAAGUAAUUCUCUUGAGCCACCCACCAUUUACAUUUGUAUAUUACUUUGGACUAAUCUUAAAAGUAGUAUUUCAAGGAUGGCCCUCAAUGGCUUCACCUGUAUAAGCUGCAGCUAAAGUUGCAAAAAUUUCUUGGCCAAAGUUAUCUUUCACCUUUUGGCUUGAUGUACAAACAUUUGAUAUUUCGUCUAUAUGAAUCAUUGCCACGAGUGAUAUAUUAUUAGAGAUCACAUUUUUUUCCUUCUUCCUUUA
rnacentral:lncRNA from 1 species